CGAAUAUUUCACCUCGAUUUGAUUCAGAAUUUCGAAAUUUGUUUGCCUUCGUUCCCCGGGCAAGGCAAAACCCUCCUCAUUCUUCAAUUUCCAUAAACAAUCACUGUACGGUAUUCACUCUCUCUCUCUCUCUCUGUGCGUUGGUCCUACAUAGAUUGUGAUAGAAAUGUACCGGUAUCUCAAUCAUAUAGUAAAAUCAAGAUUUGGAGCUUUCCCUUGGUUUCCCUAAUUGCAGAGUUUAUUAGGGUUCUUGUAAGAAAUAUUUUUUUAUGAGAUUGGUUCAAUCAAGAAAUAGUAUUUUAUUUUUUAUUUUCUGAAGUACUCCUGCUUCAAGAUAUGGGUUUUGAUUUUCUUCUUCUUUGAUUUUCUUUUGUUGAUUUCAUAGGUUAUCAGAAGGAGCUAUUAACAAUGAGUGAUUCAGGUGUGGUAUGGUAUAUAUAUAUAUGGGGCCAGUUUCUUACGGUGGUGCGCAUGCUCUGGUGGGUGAUGGGAUUGGUUUUCCAAAGUCGAUCAAUUUUUUCGCACCAAGGUAAUUUUCCUUCAUGCCCCUAGGAAAUCAGAAGCUCUUAAACUUUUCCUUAAAGAUGAGAUAAUAGUUUUAUGGCCUUAUACGUCUAUAGGAUUCUACCUAGCAACCCAAUCGAACAGUUCGAAUAAAAUAUUUGGGGUAUCAAAAACUCUUAAAAGUUUUAGUGUGAGCUCAGUUUUCUUCUUCUUUGAUUUUCUUUUAUAAUUUAAACUAACAUUACAGGGUAUACUUGCUCGAUUACAGUGACCAAAUCUAUCCAAAGGCCCGUUGCUUCUCUAUUCUUUGCACAUAUACUUGCUCCUCGAACUCAUCCUAGCCGUCGCUGCAACCCUGGCUCGAGCCCUCCUAGCCAUCGAUCGAGCUGGAGCCACAGUUCAACGAGCCCUACCUCUCCACCUCACUCCAAGACUUCUAGGGCAAACAAUGGAACCUCAUGGUUAUCAGCAUCCUACGACCCACCGUUGCCCGCAGUGCUCGCACUAUUAUAUCCUUAAUUUUAUUUUUUUCAUUUUUUAUUUAUUUUUAAUGUACAAAAUGACCAUUUUGCCCUCAUUUUUAAUGGCAAAUUGGAUGAAAUGUUGUGGAUUUAGACGGAUGAGAGAAAUUGGUGAAAAAAAGAAAUUCAUAUCCUUAAUUUUCUUUAUAAAAAAAAAUGAUAUAGGGUUAAUUGAAAGUUAGGUACAAAUUCAAGGACAAAUCACUAAUAUACCCAAAUAAUAAACAAAAAAAGACAGACAGAUCAAUUUUGGAAAUUUGGUGGGCGUAAGGCCCAAACAAUAGGAUUAUAUCUGGGCAUUCAGCAACCUAACAAGGCCAUUUGACUGUUAUAAUAGAGAACUUCUCUCAUAAUUGGAGCUCUGUUAUAAAACUAAAGGAUUGAGGAGAGAAUUUAGAAGUAGAGAAAGCAUAGAAAAAUGAUGUUUUUCAUUAAGUCUUUUGUUCUCUCGUACAAAUGAGAAUGAAGCCAUAGUUUUAUAGGCAAAGCAUUGGCUAACAAUUCGGUAAAUAGAAGACUCCAGGAGGGUGUAUGGAAAUCCUCUUCCAACAUGUGGGCUUCACCUUAUCAUCUUACAACACUCCUCCUUGAAGACCACAAUGUAUGGAAUAUGCCUCUUUAAAAACAUUGCUAGUAAAAAUCCAGUAGGACAAAAAAAUUGGUCGAAGGGAAAAAGAGUACAUAACCAUGUAUAACAUAAAAUAUUGUGUACAUUGCCACGUGUGCGACGCUGCCUCGUUAAAACCUUGCCAGGAAAAACCCAGUAGGAUAAAAACCUGGACGAGGGAAAAAGAGUACAGUGUGUGAAGGUCUUUAUUGACAGCAUGCUCCCCCUGAUACUUGGCAAAAUAUCUUUAAGUCAUACUGUUGAUCAUCUUUAUGAAUAUCAUAGUUGACACUACUUCUGUGAGUCAAUCUUGUAAUAUUGCUGGAUGCUCCCCCUGAAGAAUAUCUGCCCCUGAAAUAUUCAUAACUAGUUUUUUCCAGUAAGCGACCAUAGAAAUUUCUAAAGUCUGCGAAACAAAUCUGGGCUAUUUGUAAGUUUACUUGAAAGAAUAUGUCCAUAUAUGGUGUUAUGCGGAGAUAGCAUCGAAUAUGUCUUACAUCAUCCCAAAGUGGUGGUGAUGGAGCUGAGCUCUAUCUAGAAAAUACAAUGUCCGGUCUAGUAUACUUCCGGAAAACAUUUAAGUGCCAAACGGUUAACCCACAUAAAAAAAUGCUUCAAAACUUUCUUAAUAUAAGCAAAAAUCUUGUUGGCAUAACGCUCGAUCUUCAGGUUGAGACAAAUAUUUCUUGAACUCUUCAGAAGUUUUAAUGUGUUGCAAACACAUUAUAAUCAAUGUACUCACGGAGGCAAUUUAUGCGUAUUUAGAAUGGAGUACAGGUUUUGUACUUCAGGCACAUGUCCUUCAGGGACUUGCUUCAUGCAAUUGCAAUCUUUAAGGGAUUAAACUUUAUGACACAUUAUAUAGCUUUAACCUAUCUAUUUAUACAUCUUUAAGGAAUCACUUCUGGUGAUAUGCUCCAUGCAUGUAAUAACCCUUAAAGAUAACAUGUUAGUCUCCGUAAAUGUGCAAUAAGGGGGGCACAAUUGAAUCUGUAAACAUGGAGAAACCCAACAUCCCUUGUUUCUGCCAGAAACAUUGUGUCAUACAAAGUGGGUAUAUUCCCUUUUAUUUCGAACACCCAAGUAUAGCUUUCAAUAUUAACAUCUUUUGGGGUUCGUACUAUGGGUUUGUUCUUUCACGUUCAUUCUCAUCUGUAAUGGAAUUGCCUCAUUCUAUUUUGGCCAAUGAUAUUGUCGACAUUUAAUAAUUGAACGCGGUUCCAAUCAACACAGCCCAUUGAUGAUUUGAGUAGCUACGUCAAAAUCAAAAAUUGUCAUUCAUCAAUUCUUGAUCCCACCAUUCUCAUGUGCAUGCGCAUGCAUCAAUUAUAAGCAUUUCUUUGCUUUUGGGUACCCAAGCCACUUAAGGGGGCUUUUAUUAUCUCUUUCCAGACAGACAUCUCUUAUAAGAUGAAUUAUGUGAGAAUGUGGAUCAUAAUUUCCAAUUGAGCGUUUAUUUUACAGUAGGGCGUGGAUAAUCAUCAUUUAGGGUGUUGGAACAUUUAGAACCCAUAUAUCUGUCAUGCUACAGGCAUGCCACAAAUUAAUACAUACAUGUCAAUUAAUUUAUGGGACUUUAACCCAUAUAAUUUGCUAGGCAUUAGGCGUGCACCGUAUCAAUAUUAACAUAUUCAAGGAUUGUCCUUCCGGCACUUCAUCAUUUGCUACACAACAGGCGUGCAUCAUAUUGAUCACUGCUAUACCCAUGUUCUGUUCUCAUGAGACUUUAAUAUAUGCAGUUUAUUAUCAAUGUAUCCAACUUGCAAUCUGUAAAAUUUGCAUUAAUAAUUCAUGGAUACAUAUUAUAAUGAUACAAGCCAUUCUUCUGGAAUGGUCCUUUGCAUGACAUUAUUCUGGAAUGGCCGUAUCUCCCCAUUUGGUUACCUUUAAGGAUGUAGUACCAAAUAUCAAAAUAAGUAUAUAAGCAUAAAAUAACACAAGUAUUGCUUAUAUCCUUAGGUGGGAGAAACUUUUCUCAAGUAUCAUUCAAGCUCGUAUCGGCCCAGUAAAUAUAAUGUAGCGCUUAAUGAUCUAGUUAUAUCCUGCAAGAGCAAAAAUCACAACUCUUUUGUCUAUGUCAAAACAAAUAAUCCUCAGAGUUAGGAUCACUUCAUAGAUUCUUUAUUCAGAUAUUCGUUCUAAAGAAAUAAAAUCCCUUAUAAACAGAGAGUUAUAAAAAGAGAAAAAAUGCAAAAGAAAUUUAUGAUAUUAAUUACAGGAUAAGGUAAGCAAUCAAGGAAGGAAGCUAGUGGGAGCAGACAACAAACUCUCAUUUCUCAUAGUCUAGAAGGACCUCAGGAGAUUAGAGCAUGGGGUCGUCUUUACAGUUCCCUGAUGUAGCGAAAAUGUGAUCAGGGAUAGUCUCGCUUCCUGAAUGGAUGCUCAGAGAUAGUUUCGCUUCUCAAGCACAUCGAGUGCUCACUGAUAUGAAAAACAAGUGGAUAUCGCAUCACUACGUAUGGAGAAAACUGGAUGUCUCCUGCAAGGAAAAUUUCGUUAAUAACAUAUUUAUACACAAAUAAGAGGAAUAGGAAGAACCCGUGAGUUUCAAAUUAACCACAGAAAUUCGGGAGGUUCUCGAGGUGAUUUUGAAAAAGUAGCUCCGUGAAAUCCGCAAAGCAAGAUCGACUUUAAUGAAGAGAACGCCGAAAGUGCCGACAAACAUUAAUGGAGGCUGCGUGAAGUUUUGGAAUCUGGGAAAGAAAAAGAUAAUAUGGGGAUCCGAGAUUAUAUUGGGAUCCUGGACACGUUGCCAUAUUUCCAUCUAUAGAUAUUGCCUCUAGAAGACCUGAUUGGAGUAACUGCAUUUCAACUCAACUUCUCCACUUUCUGAAAAUUCAGCUUCUCUUAAAACUUUCCUUGAAACCUUCCUAAAAAUGGCUUUCUCUUUUUCUCAACCAAACCAUCUUGAUUUAAAUAUUGCUCCCCACACAACUCUUGACGCCAAAGUCUGGCUUCCAUCCUUUGUAUCCCAAAAUCGUCAUCUCACGGUUAAUGAUUCUGUGAUGAUGAAUGACACGACUGUUGUCACAGUAGCUAGGAAUUUCCUUAGACUAAUGGAUGAAAUGUUGUUAUUAGUGAGGUCUGAUGAAGAGGCUAUUGAUGACUCAAUGGUUUUUAGCAUUCAGAGUGAUGCUUUUGUUUCCAAAAUGGUUGAUCGUUUGCGUGCUAGAGCAAACGAGGUUCAAGAGCUGACGACUGAAAAUUCGUAUCUUCAAAGAAUGCUUCAUGAGUCUCAACAGAAGAUUGAGAAACUUAAAAAGGAAAAUAAUGCCUUGUUGAAACUAGUGAGUUCGUACUCCAUUGAUACGCUGAGAAGGCUAGACAUACUGCAAGUUUCCAAUGAAAAGAUUCUGGGAGACCACGAGAGGCUCAUGACUAAGCUUAAGAGGCGCCGCCCUCUUCCUUCAAAGGCUUCCAGAAUAUAAUGUAAUUUUAUAGAUUUUACAAAGCCUGCACCUUCAUUGCAGGUGGAAAAAAUCUAUCUGUUGUAUGUCUUCUUUCCUGUUUAUAAUAAUUGCCAAAAUUCUUAAACUUGCACAUGCGGUUUUUACGUCUUUUCAAAACGACGGUUUGGAACCUUGUGCCUUGUAGGUUCAAGUAACUACAUCAUAUCUCUCAAAUUACAUAUUUUAAUUCAUGUGAGUCCGGAACUUCUAGCCAAGCUAAACACGACCUCAGAAUUUAUUUGCUUUUUUUUUUUUUUCAAAUAGAUAUGAAAUAUGAAUUGAGUAAAGGCCGCGAUAAUAUCGCAAUAUAAUAGUGAAGAGCAUUAACUACUAUAUACCCACAACUUCAAGUUCGGGAUCUCUCAUAUAUAUGGAUCCAUGGGCUUCCGGCCCAGACACAACAAAAUAUGUGAGGAGCCUCAAUUCAUCAUUUGAGGUUUAUCAUGAUAUUAUCCAUUUCACGGUGUAUUCUUAACAACUGGAAUUCAAAAUAUAUUUCUUCCUUGAUGUGUCGAUUAUAACAUAAUCGAAUUUUAUUAAAUUCAUCAUUUCCUUAUGCCAAAGAAAUAUGUGGCGCAAUGAUACCUCAAGGAUUGUCCAUUUAAUUGUUGGAACUUUAGGUUCUCAACACUGUUAGAUUUUGAACUUCAUGUCAAAAUCUGAUAUACUCAUUGUAUGGACAUUCAAUCCCCUUAGAUUUUGAACUUGGGGCCAAAAUCACAUAUUCUCAUGGUAUGGACAUUUUUACAAUUUUUUGCACAUAUUUUGAGACUUCAAGCCCUUACAUAAUUUUCAAUAUUUUGAGGAACUUCUAGCAUCUCAUUUAAUUGCUCAUCAAUGAGUUUAAGGAACUGCAGGUUCCCUUUUGUAUAUAGUGACGGUUUACCCAAAAUGGUUAAUAUUUAUGUAUACGUCACUAUUCAUGUAUACGAUACUAUUCAUGUAUACAGUACAUUUGCCAGUACAAUUAUUUUUCAUGUGUACGGCACAUUAACCAAUACAGUACUGUUACAUCAUCAAGGAACCCCAGGUCCUUAUUUACAUGUCAAGGAUCAAAGACCCGCAAAUCCGAUCACUUGUUUACAAAUAGUACCGGAGAGAUUGUCAGUUCCCAUAUCAAUAUCAUCCUCAAGGAUCUUCACGUCCUGAUUUAGUUGUAUGAUGAGGAUUAAGGAACUUCUAGUCCUGAUCUGUAUACUGUAAAAACUCAUCAUACUGCACAAUUAGUCCAUAAAAUAAAUUGCUAGUAUGGACGAUAAACCCGCAUCAUACUUUAAAUAAAUGUAAAUGUGAGGUAAAAUAAAUUUAUAAAUUAAAUUGCUUGUAAGUAAAUUGAUGUAUGGACGAUAAUCUCGCACCAUACUUUAAAUAAAUGUAAAUGUGCGAUAAAGUAAAUUCAUAAAUUAAAUUGCCUCCUGUAUGGACUUUAAUCCUGCACCAUACCUUAAAUAAUAAUAAAUGUACGAUAAAUUGCUUACUGUAUGAAUGUUAAUUCCACACCAUACUUUAAAUAAUAAAGUAAAUGCGCAAUAAAUUAAAUGUGCUUGUAUGUGCACUAAUUCUACUCCAUACUUUUAAAUAAAAGUAAAGGCAGUUGUAUGGACCAUAAACCCGCGUCACACUUUUAAAUAAAUACUAUCGUAUGGGUAAUAAACCUACAUAAUACAGGAAAUAAAUUGUAUAGGUAAUGAAUCUACACCAUACAAUGAAUAAAAUAAAUGUAGAGAUAAAACCACCACUAAAAAUAUAGAAGGUGAAACCGUUCAUAGAAUUUCUAUAUAUAUAGAUUAUAUAGAAUAUAUAAUCAGGCAAGCAAAGAAAUUAGUGCAUGAUGGAUAUCACGGUAUCCCUUUCCUGGUAUUCUUAUGAGGAGUUUGUGAUACAUAGAUUAGCAAGGGCAGUGGUCAGUCAUAGUCAGAUGUCUUCAUGGACCUGGUAUUCUUAUGAGGAGUUUUUACUCGCAAAAUGAAAAAUGGGAUAUCAUUGGUAUGGCGUUAUGGAGUGUAAGCUAUUCACUUCAAUGUUUAGCAGGGUAUAAUUGUAAAAGAACAAUUACGCAGAACUUAAAAAAAAAAUUAAAAAGAAAAGAAAAAAAGGUGCAGAGCCCACACCGGACCAGUUACUCUUCUUAUCAGUUUCUCUUAGCAGUUGCUUCGUUCCUCUUAGCAGUUGCUCUUCUUUCCUCCCCUCCCAUGUUUCGCGGAGCAAGAAUCCUCAUCUACUCACAUCAUGAAAAGGUUAGAGGUUUUUUUUUUGUUGUUUUUUUUUAAGGUUCAUUUCUUCAUUUGUGAUGUCAAAAAUUGAGAAGUAAAUCAUGUUUCCAGGAAAGCUAGCUGAUGCUGUUAUCUUUAUAAGAUGGCUAUGGCUAUCUUUAGUUUUCUAUCUCAAAUAUGUUUUUAUUUCACUUCUCUCAGACUACCAAUGAAGAACGAAGCAUAUUUCAAAUAAUACUACAAGAGGCAAAAUUUACAAAGAAAAGAAGAGAAAAAGAAAAAACAUGCACGAACAUAGAAAAUUAUUCCAAAGAAACAAAACAGUAAGAAAAAAUGAUGCCCAGAUAAUGCUAAUUCGAACCAAUCCAACCUUUCUAGUAUGAAAUAGCAUCGGGUCGAUCGAGUAAGACAAUGCUCUCUACAAAAUAAUCCACGAAGCAGUAGAGGCUUGUCCUGGGGCAGUACCCAUCAAUUCGAAAAUCAUCACAUUGUUUGUUGUGAGGGUCUACCAAUUCAUAACACUUGUCAUCCGAAAGAUACGCAAGCACUACUUGGCCACUCUUUCUGAAACAAAGUGGCCUGAGCACAAUUUGUUGAGUAGAUAUAGUGAAUAAUUUAGACCAGGAUUCUGCAACACCAUAGUCUUUCAUCACCCACAAGUAAAAAUGAACAUCACCAGUUAAUAGCAUAUUUUGAUGUUUCUCAAAAAAGGCAAGGCGGCCCCCGUAUCUUGAAGCAUAGCAAACAUUUUUUACCACGGGAGCUUCGCGUGUCCACUUCUUAGUCCUCCUUCUCAAAGCUGAUUUGGGCAUCAGGAUCUUGCCAAAUAAUUCAGUGGACAAAUCAAAGGACACAAUGAACUUGUCGUCCCCCUCUGUCUGAAUCCAAUGCAAAGCACCAUUAACAAGAGCAUCGGGUUUAUCAUUACUAGUAAAGUUUCCAGGCGAGAAGUUUGCAGGAACAACAGCAUUAUGAAGCCUCUUCCAGGAGCCCUUGGCUAAGGAAAAAAUCUCAACUGCACGGGACAAGCGGGAAGGCUUAUAAUAACUAACACUUCUGAAAACCUUAUAGUCAUUGGUACGCGGAUCAUAGCCAAAUGCGUGGCUUUUAAACCCCAGGAAGGUAACACCCGGGGGAGGCAAAACCACAAACUUUCUAAUACUGGGGUUCCAAAUUAAAGUCGCAAUGUCACCUUCCUGGAGGCAAACCAGCCCGUUACAAGUCCCUAGCACAUUGAUCUUGCAGUUUCUGUUACCCAUUUUUGUUGUUUGAUUAUUGUCUUCUUGACGUCCACUAAUUUCAUUGUAAGCUACGAAUGGAUCUGUAAGCUUGGAGUACUCACUGAAUGAAGGGCAUCGAUCCCAAUGCAACGAGUAAGAUCUUUUUCUCUCUUCCCUGUUGGAAGACUGUAGCAGCAAGAGAUGAGCGUCGUCAUUUUGGUUGUUUGAUUGGAUGAUUGCGCGGCUGAGGUGUGUAUGGAUGAAGGCAGAGCUUUGGAUUAGAGACCUCCAUGACUGGCACACUGCGGUGUAUUUGAGUAGAUAUUUGAUGGGCAACAACAGCAGGAUGUUGUGAAGUAUUUCUUCAGGAAUAUUAACGCUGUUGUCCGCCGGCAUUGCUUGCCUACAUCUAAUUUUAAUUUUUCUUUUUUUGGGUGUGAUUUCUUCAGGAACCUUGUCCGCUGAGAUUGCUUCCAUCGACCUGAUUUAAGUUUUGUUUUUGCUCUAAUUUAAUAUGGGGUUGGGGAGAAUAUAGCAAUAAGGAUUUUCAACGACCCCUGUAGAAAUCCGAUUCAACAAAGGAAACAUAGCAUUAAAUAAAGACUAACAAAAAAUAUAAAUAUAUAAAUAUAAACCUGCUUCCGUCAGGAAAUCUAAGAUCCAAAAGCUAGGGAUUUGGGAUUUGAGAUCAAGCAAGCCAAAAAAAAAAAAAAAAAAAAAGAAAAACCUUAUUCGGUCAGGAAAUCUAAGAUCCAAAAGCUAGGGAUUUAGGAUUUGAGAUCAAGCAAGCGAAAAAAAAAAAAAAAAAAGAGAUAAACCUGAUUCCUUCAGGAACUCUGAGAACACUUACAUCCAUCUGAUUCCCAAUCGUGCUAUCUUUUUGCUCCAAUCGAAGAUACAAAAAUAGGGAUUUGGGAUUAUAUACCGAUGUUCCGACUAGGGCUGGGCUCGGGUUGAUGAGAGAGAGAUAGAGGGAGAAAUGGUAACGAGGAAGAGAGCGAGAUAUAUAAGGUGGACACGACAGGAGAGAAACGGCGCAUCAACAUUAUUAGGUAUUGUGAAUUGAUUAUUGUCAAGGGUUGACCAAAAUGGACCCCAAGUAUUACUCGAGUAUUAUUUUGGUUCACUAAUUAAGGGCCCGUUUGGUAAUAUUUUCGGAUAAUAUUUUUAGAGAGUGAAAAAAAUAAAAUAAAUUUGCGUUUUCAGGAUUUUCAGGAAAUGAAAAUGCGUUUAGUAGAUUAAUUAGCAAACAUUUUUAAAAAAUAAAAAUAAUGAAAACGUGUCUUGUAGUACAAUUAUUUUUCAGUUCUAAUUUUCUUUUAAUUCUAAUAUUUUUAGAGGCUAAAAUUAUCAUAAACAAUAAAAAAAAAUUAAAGUUCAAAAAUUAUCUUAUCUCCUUUCUUUUUUUCUUCUUUUUCUCCUUUUCUCUCUUUCCUCCUCUUUUCUUCUUCUUUUCCUUUUCAUGGCUGUUUAUUUUUUCUCUUUUUCUCCCUCUGUCCUUCUUUCUUCCUCAUUUCUUCUUCCUUUCCUUCCCAAGGCCGUUUCUUUUUUCUCCUUUUCUUCCUCUUUUCUUCUUCAUUUCCUUCCCAGGCCACACCCACUCCUCCUUCCUUUCAUGGCAUGAAUCCCAUACACCCACCCACCUCUCUCUCUCUCUAGUUCCACUAAUUAAUAGUUGUGGUGGUUUGAUUGGGGUGAUGAUGGUGGUUGAGCUGAGUAUGUGGUGGUUCUUCUUCCUGUCUCUGUUUUUUCUUUUCUUUUCUUCUUCCUCUAUUUUUUUUCCUUAGUUUUCAGAUUUGUGUUAUUUUGGGUUGGAGAAGAUGGGUGUUGUUCCUGUUGGUGGGUUUAUCGAUUGUCAAGAGAGAGAGAGCUAGAGUUGUUGAUGGGAUGCAUUCUCGUGUCUUCAUAAAACACUAAAAACGAGAUCUUCCAAGAGCAACAAUCUUCCUGUGGUAUGUGGGGCGAUGAACCAAUUGGAGAGAUCAAAAAGCCUUAGUGGUGAAGAGAGGAAGAGAGAUUGUCGCCAAAGAGAGAAGUGAGCCAACCCAGAGAGAAUAGCGGUCAAGAAAGGGGGAGAGAAGAGAAGAAUUUUGGUUUUUGAUCUGAUAGGGAGAGAAGAUUGAGCCAGAGAUUGAGCAGAAGUAGCAUGUUUUGAGCGUUUGUUUUCUGGGAGAACAAAAACAUCUUUUUUCUGUUUUGUAGAACUAAAUGUGAAGUUGGUUUCAUUUUAUGAAAACAUUUUCAAUGUUUUCUAUGUAGAACAAAUACGUUUUUGCUUUUGAAAAUGAAAAUGGGCCUCUAAAAUGUAAACAAACGAAUGCAUUCCCUGCCAUUUUUGUUAGAAGCUCCACCAAAACCCCCAAAUUAGAACCCUAGGUUUGCAAUGUCGGAGAUUUCAACUACCUCAAGUGGCACAAGUCAGUACUACGCAUGUGGGAUAAAGAUAAUUCGUCGGACUUCGUCGACAUAUUUGAACCCAAGAAGAAGGUUUGAUGCUUGUGAGAAAAAUUGGGUAAGUUAUUAUUUGGGUUGCAAAAGUUAUUUUUUUCCAUUUGUAAUUGCUUGUUGAAGUCUGAAAUUGGGUAAGAUUUGGUUUCCAGAAUAGCAGAAGAGGUAUGCGUUUUUUUGAGUGGGUGGAUAAUGAAACUUGUCCAAGAGGAAAACAAGUGGUCCCUGGUUUGCUUAGAAGACUUAAAGCAAUGGAGGAGGAAGGUAGAGCAAAGGAAGAACAAUUGAGAUCUGUGGAAGCAAAAAAGAAAGAGCUGCAACAAAAAUUGAAAGAAAUGGUUCAGGAAAAAAAGGCAAAACGUCACUUUUGGUCCAUGUGGUUUACCACUUUUACCACUAAGGUCCAUGUGGUUUCAAUUUGAUAUUUUUGCCCCAGGGUUUUUAAUUUAAGCAAUUUCAGUCCAAUCUCCAAUUUCUGUCAAAUUAGGACUUGUUGAGGGGCAUUUAAGUCCAAAAACAAGAAACAAAUUGAAAAUUUUUUUAAAAAAGCAGAAGAUAGGGGAUGAGAACCCGUCAGCCACACAACCAGCCCACACGUCGACCACCACUAUCCGCCAUCUCCUCAACCCGGUACAACUCCACCAUCACCAUCUCUCUCCCUUCUCGUUUUUCUUCUUUUGGAUUCCAAUCUCUUGUUUGUCUUUCUUUCUCUUGAUUGACCAAAAAAAAAAAAAAACUUUUUGUUGAAUUGUUUGUUCUUCAGAGAAUAUCACAACAACAGCCAAACAAUCCAUAUGGGUCAUAUAUCCAUGGCUUUUUCUCUCCCGAGUCUCAUGUUUGUACAAAUCACACGUCUCCCAUCCCAUACAUCAGAAAGCUUUUUUGCACUCAAUAGAUUGAAAAGAUAUGUUAUAAUCAUGCAACCAAGCCAACAAAACUGGAUGAAUACAAAACAACAACAAAAUGGCAAAAAAAAUACAAAAGGCAACGAUUGAAGUGCCCUCAGUUUCCUCUCAUGUCAAAAAAUCAGAAGCUUCACAACGUAAUCAAAGAAAAAGAGAUGAACCCAUCACAGCCCCACCAACAAAUUGAAGACCAGGAUCAGAACGACGACGAAAUAGAAGAAGUCCAGUGCCAAAUAGCAGUCUCCAACUUCCCUGACGGCUUUGAAUAGCAGCCAAGUUCUGCUAUAGCAUCAAGAUCGUGGUGGUGGAGUUUGUUGAUGCGAAAAAGUGGUUUGACACGUGGUUCGCCCAACUUAGUGAUAUUGUGUCUUCGGAAGGGAGUUAGUCUUCGGAAGAUCAAGUUCCUGCAAAAAGGGAACGUUCGGUAAGACCUUGGGGUACCGGUGCGGUACCGGCCGAAGGCUCUCCGAUGCUUCAGUAAGUACGGAUUUAGUAAAUGUCAGAUUACAGAUCAAGCGAUAGCGUACCGUUGAUCGUUCUCCCUCCUUCUUUUGGGAAUAGGGGUCUCCUUAUAUAGGCCUUGGGAGGUGUGCAUUAUGUUUAUAUUUCCGAUGUGGGACUGUAGGAGCUGGUCGAGAGCAUGACACGUGUCCUAGGUCAAAAGUGUCAGGAUAUGUAGGAUCCGGUAGGGGAUAUGCCGAAGGGCCUGCGAUGUCAUGUUGUCGUUUCCGUCCACGUGUCAGUCGGUCAUUGGUUGUUAAUAUGCGGUAUAAACAGUAGUCCCCCAAGUUCUCUUCCGAAGGUUCUUCGGAAGGGAAUUUGGUUCCAUCCUGAGGGUUCAUAGAUGCCCUGCCGUUCGGCAAGUUUGUUUGUGGAAGGCUCCCCUGAGAUCUGAAGGGUCGCCGAUGCUGAGAGGGGUGAAGGCAGGACGCUUCGUUUCCCGCGCCUGGCGCGUGGAGACGCUUCGCCUUCCGCGCCCGGCGUGCAGAGACGCUUCGUCUUCUGUACCAAGCGUGCAGCAGACAUCACCAUCCACCGGGCGACACGUGGCCAGCGAAGCGACGUCUGACGGCUGCAAUUAUGAGCCGUUUGGUUUCCCGAGGCGUACCGUUGCAGCCAUCUCCCUAUAAAUAGAGAUGGCUCCAGGCGUAGAGCUCACUUCGGAUUUGAGAGUUGAAGCGAGAGCUCUGCGCAGGCGAUUUCCGAAGUGUGUUAACGACAAGCAGGGCGAUUUCCACACGAGUUUUCGGCAGUCAAGGAGAUUCCCGAAGCGUUCGAACGGCAAUCAAGGCGAUUCUCAAGCAGUUUAUCGGCAACCAAGCUCCCAACAACACCCAAGGUAAGGCACCGUUCAGUACUCCCAACUCUUUUUAUUUGAUUGUAUCUCCUUAUGGCGUAGGCUUGCCGAUCGUAACAUAGGAUUUCUUUCGGUAGUCUAGUGGACUAUAGGUAGUGGCUUAGACAUCGGUAGGGUAAUUCAUUACAGAACCUUAGCCACCUUUUUUCCUUUUUCUUGUAGAUGUCUUCUAGCGAGUCCUCCUUCGGCAGUGAGCCCAACGCUUUCGACGGGGAGUUGUCAUCGGGCUGGGACACGUCUAGUUUGGCCGUGAGCAAGAGGACACCGAUGUUGGAAUUAUCGGUGAGGAGGCGAACUCCGUUCCUGCUCAUGGCUUCGGCAAGGGGUUGAUGACGGGGCAGCCGUUUCCGUUAGCUGCAGUCCUCAAAGAUGGUACCCGAUUCGGUACCCCCGAUCCCCUGCCGGAGGCUUCUACCUCUGGUCGUGAUGAGGUCAUUGCUGGUCCCUCUCGGCCGAGGCUAACAAUCGUCCACCGGGAGCGAUCUAGGAUCCCGAUAGGCGUGCCGAAGAAGGCUCUGUUCGGGGUCGACUAUUUAGAGCCGAAUAAGAUCACCGAACGGGAGCUUCAAAAGAUUAGGGCCGAAUACCUCAUUCCAGAUUCGGUGAAGAUGAGGAUUCCGAGCGCUACGAAAUGCCUUAGCGAACCUGGGGACGGUGAAGUCGUCUUCUUCACCGACAUGCUUCUGCAAGGGGCGUUGCCCACGCCUGCGUCUGCUGCAGAGGGAUACCGGCCCGUAUGACAUUAAAGGGUAUGCCCCGCCAGGUGAUAACCCCACUUUCGGGUCGAGAUGGUGAUAGCCGCCUUCGGGAUUGCUGGGGAGGGGGAGCCUUCCUACGAGCAAUUCUCGUAUCUCUACAGCAUCACGAAGUCGAAGAGCGCCGAUCAUGGUGGCUGGGUUCAGGCGAACUGCCUGAAGGCUUCCGAGCGGGGUCAUUUCAUUAGCUCGGUGCCGACUUCCCAGAAGUCGUGGAGGAAUCGGCGGGGGCUACUCUCCGGUGACUGGGAAUCACCUUCGGGAGUAGUUCCGCGGUUUCCGGUGCCCACGACGUUCCAAACCACCGGUAGGUUUCCGAAUUACCGAACGGUAGGAUUUUAGCGUUGUUAACUUAUUUCAUUCUUAUCAAUCCGUUCCUUGAUCAGGUAAAGUCAAGCAGCCAACCCCCACUCAGGCUGAGAUUCGGCAGCUCGAGAGAGUAAGGCUGAAGGUCCCAGCUGCCGAUCGGAUCUACCCCCGCUUUCUUUUUACCGAUAACCUGAUCAGAGUCAGACUCGUCAACCCAGCCGAGACUAAGUCUACUUGCUUUUUUCUGUUUUGUAUAUAUAUAUAUAUAUAUAUAUAUUUUUGGCUUGUGCAUGCCGACUAACAGGUUAUCCUUGACCAGUGACGGACGCAAGGAAGGCUGCCGAGGACAAGAAGAUGAACGAAUCUUCCAGGCGGGGCCUUAUGAUGGGCCUCGAGAAGAAGAAGAAGAAACAGCCCGAGGCCCCUGCCGUUCGGCUAGAGACGGAUCCCGAAGACGUUGUCCUGUCGGAGCGCCUGCGGCAGUUGGGUUCUGAGCCCGUUGCCAGGCCUACUGCCGAGGUGGAGGCGCCGAGGCAGCCGGAUGCCGAUGCCGCUGCCUCAAGAGCAGCAGGUAAGCGGCCGGUGAUGGUCGAUUUGGAGGCUUCGCCAGUUUCCAAACGGAGCCGUCCGUCGGAGGCUUCGAGGGCUGUCUUCGCGGCGGAGGACGAGGAUGGGCCUACCGAGGCCGUCACCAUCGCCUGCCCCUCGAAGACGGUGCAAUUCGUCAAACAUAUGAUCCUCGGAUCUCAAAUGGAGCUGCCGGAAGUUGACGAGUUGCCGAAGAGGCUUCUUCUAGCAGUUUUGACGGAUACCCGGAACCGCAGUAGCGUAAGAUCUUCUAUCUUCCGUGUCAUUUCAUAAUUUUUACCCGCUGGCUUCCUCGGUUUUUGACUUUCCUUGUGUGCAGGCCUCCAUGGAGAUGUGGCUCUGCGUCAAGCGAGCCAUCUCCGCUGCCGAACGGGUGAAGAAGGCCUAUGACGACGGCAGGGCUAAAGUCGCCGAAGCGGGCAAAGCUAUCCAGGACCACGCCCAUCUGCUCAAGGAGAAAGAGGCCGCCGAACGGCAAGCUUUUGCUUCGGAGGCGAAGGCGGAGCAGUUGCGGGUGGCCUUGGAGGCAGCGCGGGCGGAUCUGGAGGUAGCUCGGUCGGCAGCGCGUGAUGCCGAGGCCGUCUCAGAGGCGAUCCAGGAUGCCAUGCAGGAGUCUGAGCGGAAUAAAGCUGCGGAGGUGGAGGCUGCUGUACAAACGGCAAUCCGGGAUACCGUUCCUCCGAGGAGUUUGCUGCCCUGCUGGAUGGGGAAGUUGGCUCCGAGAUGGUGGGUAUGUUGUACCGAUUCAAACGGUACAACCCUGGCCAGAAGCUAAACCUCAACUUUGCCGCCGAUCCCCCUCCCCUUCCCGAAGGAAUUACCGAAGAGAUGAUUGAAGACUACGAAGGGGAGGACGCCGCCGAGGGCCCUGGGACUGCCGAUGCCGCCGCCGGUGACGAAGCCGCUGCCUGAGGGCCUUUAUCUUUACAUUUAUCUAUGUAUUUUUAGUUUUAUUUGUUCCGAACGUCUUGAUGCCGACGGCAUCUUUUAAUUCAAAUUUAUGCUUUCUUAAUUCAACCAUCGAUUGUCCAAAUUUUCGAAUUUAACCCAUGUGAGUACGUUAUAAUUGCUAAUUGCCGUGGGCUAAUUGCCCGUAGAUCGUUUAGAAUCAAGUUUCGCGAAUUAUAACUGCUAGUUGCCGUAGGCUAACUGCUGAUUGAAGGUCACUUAUUACCGUAGGCAAAUAAGGACGCUAUUGGAUGUUUGAGUGUAAAGUCCCGAAGGGAUCUGUAGGAUAAAAAAUCGGAUCGGUCAUUCAUUGCCGUAGGCUAGUAUAGAAUGUCGUAGGAUGUUAACAUUUAGUUGCCGUGGGCAAAAAUGAUAAUUAGAGGGAGGCUAAAGAAAUAGUGCCGAGGGCUUUCCAUUAAUUCCAGUAGAACAAAUACAUCGAGUAAUUACAGUUCCCACCUGCCGUAGGCUAGGUCACUUGUAGUAGUACUUGAGAUGUUCUACGUUCCAAGGAUGGCCGAGGGCCUUGCCGUUGGAGCCUCUCAAUCUGUAGGUUCCCGAGCGAAGGAUACCGAUGACUUCAUAAGGUCCUUCCCAGGAAGGUCCGAGGGUUCCUUCCGUGGUAUCCUUCGUCACAAGCGAUACCUUGCGCAUGACCCAGCCCCCGAUUCGGAAAGAGCGGGGUCUGACUCUAGAGUCGUAAUACCGAGACACACGCUGUUUGUAGGCUUCAUUCCGAAGGUUGGCCUGUGCUCGGUGCUCCUCGAGUAGGUCAAGGCUUAGAGACAUGGCCUCCUCGUUCUGCUUCGGUGCGAAGGCUUCCGUUCGGUAGGAAGGUUCGCCGAUUUCCACGGGUACCACUGCUUCCGAUCCAAAGGCCAUAGAAAAAGGGGUUUCUCCAGUGGACGUUCGGUAAGACUUUCGAAUGGCCCACAGUGCUUCGGGAAGCUUUUCCGGCCAGGCUCCCUUUGCCUUGUCCAACUGCCGUUUCAGCAGUUUCUUCACUAUUUUGUUUAUUGCUUCGACCUGACCGUUCGACUGGGGAUGGGCUGGUGAUGCAAAAAACAAGUUGAUUUUCAAACGGGUGCAAAAUUGCCUGAAGAGUUCCGAAUCGAAUUGCCUGCCGUUAUCGGUAAUGAUAGCAUAUGGGAUACCGAAUCGGCAACAUAUGUGAGUCCAGACAAAAUCUUCAAUCUUUGCCGCCGUUAUGGUUGCAAGAGGUUCGGCUUCUACCCAUUUGGUGAAGUAGUCAACGGCAACCACUGCAUAUUUUGCCUGCCCCUUGCCUUGCGGCAUUGGGCCAAUCAGGUCCAGUCCCCAUUGUGCGAAAGGCCAAGGACUUACAAUCGGGGUGAGAGGUUCAGCAGGGAUAUGUGGGACAUUACCGAAGCGCUGGCAUUUGUCACACCUCUUCACCAGUGUAUUGGCGUCCUGAUGCAUGGUUGGCCAAAAGUAUCCCUGCCGAAAGACUUUGUAGGCGAGAGAUCGGGACCCGGAAUGAUCGCCACACACACCGCUGUGAAUCUCCCGAAGGAUGUACUCCCCUUGCUCUGCCGGGAGGCAUUUGAGAUACGGGGUAGUGUAGCCGCGCUUGUAGAGUACAUCGUUGAUAACUGUGUAUCUUGCUGAUCGGUACCUCAGCUUCCGGGCCUGGGCUUUAUCCUCAGGAAGGAUGCCGUUCGUCAGGUAUAAGUAGAUGGGAGACAUCCAUGUAUCCUCAUACCGUACGGCACACGCUUCGGAGGUUACCGUGCUCGGUUGGGCAAGGAUCUCCACCGGUACCUUUCUUCCGACUUUGUCGUUUAUCGCCGAAGCGAGUCUUGCCAAAGCAUCGGCAUGGCUGUUUUCGCCCCUGGGGAUCUGUUUGAUCUCGUAUGCUUGGAAACUUCUGAGUAGCUGAUGGGCGGUUGAAAGGUAGGCGUACAUGGAGGCGUCCUUGGCGGCGAAGUCUGCCGUUACCUGGUUCACAAUGAGCUGGGAGUCGCUGUGAAUUCGGAUUUGCUUUGCAUUCAUGCUCUUGGCUAACCGAAGGCCGGCCAAGAGGGCUUCAUAUUCCGCUUCAUUGUUGGAUGUCCGGAAGUCGAAUCGGAGGGCGUACUCGAUUUUGAGUCCGUCCGGUGUUGUCAGUACUAAGCCAGCUCCGCAUCCUUGCUGGUUUGCCGAGCCAUCGACGUGCAAACCCCAGACGGGAGGUGAUGUGUCGAGGCGUUCGGCGCCUGGUUGAUCCGGCAAGAUGGUCUCGGUAAUUGCCUCAGAUGUCGGUUGUACUGUCGCUGGGGUAAGCUCGGAGAUAAAAUCGGCAACAGCCUGGCCCUUCUCCGCGGGCCUCGGAACGAACUGGAUGUCGAAUUCCCCGAGUUCGAUCGCCCAUUUGAUCAAUCGGCCCGAAAUUUCUGGUUUCUGGAGAACUUGCCGGAGGGGUUGGUUGGUCAGGACUUUGAUCCCGUGUGCCUGGAAGUAUGGCCGAAGUCUUCGUGCCGAGACAACAAGGGCUAGAGCCAGCUGCUCUAAUGGUGGAUACCGAAGUUCCGCACUCUGGAGUGCCUUGCUGACAUAGAAGAUUGGUAAUUCUGCCUUCUCUGGUUUCCGAAUUAGUACCGAGCUGACGGCAGUUCCGAAUACCGAGAGGUAGAGGUAGAGAAUUUCCCCAGGCAGCGGUUUUGACAAAAGGGGGGCUUUGCUCAUGUAGUUCUUCAGGGCUUGAAAUGCGUUAUCGCAUUCGGCAGUCCAUGUGAUAUCCCGUUUGCCCCCUUUCAAGGCUUUGAAGAACGGUACACAUUUAUCGGUAGCCUUCGAUAUGAAGCGGGUCAGGGCGGCCACGCGUCCGGUAAGGCUCUCAAUGUCCUUCGUCGUCUUCGGCCUCUCCAUAUCGAUGAUUGCCUUUAUUUUCUCGGGAUUCGCCUCAAUCCCCUUCUGACUGAUCAUGAAUCCGAGGAAUUUCCCGGAAGAUACACCGAAAGCGCAUUUCUUCGGGUUCAGCCUCAUCCUGUAGUCUUUUAGUAUGCCGAACAUGAUCGAUAAGUUCUGCAGGUGAUCUUCGGCAGUUCUGCUUUUUACCAACAUGUCGUCAACAUAAACCUCCAUGAUGUUGCCGAUGUAACCGGCGAAGAUUUUGUUGACGAGCCUUUGAUAAGUUGCCCCCGCGUUCUUCAGACCGAACGGCAUGACAUUAUAACAGUACAACCCUUUGUCCGUUAUGAAUGCGGUAUGUUCGCUGUCGGGAGGGUGCAUGAAUAUCUGGUUAUAGCCGGAGUAGGCAUCCAUAAAGCUCAGCAGUUCGUGGCCGGCAGUGGCGCCCACGAGCUGGUCUAUCCGUGGUAACGGAAAGCUGUCCUUCGGGCAGGCCUUGUUGAGGUCGGUAUAGUCUUGGCACAUCCGCCACCCGCCCGUGGACUUUCUUACCAUGACGGAGUUAGCAAGCCAUACCGGAUAUGUUGCUUCCCGGAUGAAACCGAUGGUUUGAAGUUUUUCGACUUCCGUGCGCAUCCCCUCAUACCGUUCGGCAUCAUAUGACCGGCGCUUCUGCCUUACGGGCUUAUAGGCGGAAGAGAUGGUGAGUUUAUGGCUAAUCACGUCCGGGGCGAUGCCGGGCAUGUCCUCGUAAGACCAUGCGAAAACUUCCGAAUGAUGCCGCAAGAAGUCUAUGAAUUGCGUUCGGAGGUUCGCAGUGAGUCUAGUGCCGAUUCUAACCUGUCGGUCGGGCUGUUCAUCGCUCAAGGUUAUGGUUUCCAAUUCUUCGGCAGGUUGUGUGUGAGGGGUGGGAGAUUCAUCUCUAGGGUCGUCAACCGGUCCAGUACCGUUCGGUAAACCUUGCACCGUCAUGGUCUCGUUGGGGAGUAUGAACGAGGUUGCUUUGAGCGCCGUAGCGUAGCAAGUCCGCGCGCUGAAUUGAUUUCCCCGGAUUGCCCCCGUGCCGUUCGGGGUAGGGAACUUCAUCAACAGCAUGUGGGGUGAAAGAUGCGCCUUGAUCCUCGUCAGCGCCGUUCGGCCAACGAUAACGUUGUAUGCCGUCGGGCAGUCGACGAUGAGGAACUGAUCGUACGUUGUUGUUUUUCUCGGCGCCGUGCCAAAUGUAAUUGGCAGUCUGACACUACCGAUCGGUUGGACCAGGUCUCCAAAGAAGCUUAACAGAGGUGUCAACUGCCGGUCGACUUGGUUGUCAUUGAUUCCCAUCUCUCCGAAAGCUUCAGCAAAGAUUACGCUCACGGAGCUCCCGGUAUCGAUCAGCACUCGCCCUACAUCGUAAUCGGCAAUUUCAGCUCGGAUGAUCAUCGGGUCGUCGUGGGGAUAGAGGAUUCCCUCUUCUUCUUCUUGGCAAAAUGUGAUCGGCUCCCAAUGAACUUUUGGUAUUUCCUGGAACCGAUUCACCUCUAUUCCGAGCACCUGAGGAAACUGCGCGGCACGCACAUACUGUUUCAUCGAACGGUGGCUCAUCCCCGCAACGGUAGGUCAUCCGCUGAUAGUGCUGAUCAUGUUUAUCUGCCGAGGAGGGUUCGGCACCGGCGCCGAUGGCUGCCGGGCGAUAUACUGGUCCAGUUUCCCCUCUCGGAUCAGCCGCUCCACAAUCUUUCUCAAACUUAUACAAUCUUCCGUGUUGUGGCUGUUGUGCUGAUGGUAUCGGCAGAAUUUACCGGUCUCCCGGUUGUCUUGCCGAUUGGGUCUUCGAAUAUUCGGCUUCGGUAUGACCUCCUGUUCGUUCAUCAGAACGGUUUCAUACGUGGUAUUCAGCAGGGUGAAGACCUCGUUGCCGUGGUCACGGUUGGGCAGGGGUCCCCGGUUGUCGUUGUGACCAUACCGACCUUUCCCUUUCUUUGGCUGAUCUCUCCGAUCGUCACGGUUAUCUUUCCGCUUAUGGCCCGCCGAAUAUGAGUCGGUCCUAUCGUAGGAUGGCGCCUUCGCAGGGUAAACGUUUGGCUUGGCAUCCUCUCGGCGUGCCGAAGCGCUUGGUUUUGAGUUGAAGUACUCGGCCUUGGCGUGCACCGCCGCCUGCUUCAUCAGCUCAUCAUACGUGCGCCAGUUACUGCUGUGUACUAGGUAUCGGAAAUGCGAGGACCGAAGGCCACUCUUGAAGGCGCCGUAGGCUGCCCUAUCAUCUGUUUCCGGACACCUUGAGUACUCGUGAUUGAAACGCGCCGCGUACUCCCUCAAUGGCUCGUCCUCCCUCUGCCGAAUUGUGUACAGAUCAUCGGCAGAGUAAAGACGGUCCGUUUGGAUCAUGAAGUGAUUGAGGAAAAUUUGCUUCAGCUCGUCAAAAGAAUCCACCGUUUCCGGCUCCAGACGGUAGAACCAAUUCAGGGCUGCCUCGGUAAGUGAAGACGGGAAUAGCAGGCAUUGCCCCUCGUCGCUCAGACCCUUGCAUCCGAUAGCAGACUGAAAUGAGUGAAGGUGGGUUAAAGGGUCUUCGGUACCGUGUAGAAUGGUAUGCGCAAUAGAUGUACUUCCCGAUCCUGCCGAGAGCGACGGAUGCGUCUCGUGAACGGCCCGGGCCGAAGCUUUCCCCACUCAGGUUCCUGGGAGCGAGCCUUGUCGUCUUCCAUUUUCUGGACCUUCUGAAAAAGGAGUCGGACAACAGGGUCUCGGCUUGGGAUUCCUUCGGCAUCAUAAUCUUUCGAGCGUCUCCGCGGGCUCACGGAGUUAUCCCCCGAGUAUCGAGGUGUUUCCGAACGGUAGGUGGAAGUUUGCGUAUUGGAAUGUAUGUACUCGGACGCUGACUCUUCUGUGGCGUCCAGCCCCCUGACCCUCCGAAUAGGCGAUUUGCUUCCUAGGGCGUUCAGCCGGGACUCCCUAAGCCGAGCGUCAACUCUGACCGGAUAUCUCUGUCUCUCUGCCUCCCGAUCGUUAAGCCGGUGUCGGCAAUCAGAGUAGACCUUCUUCGGUAUGUGCGGUUGGUCCCUAGGUGUCGGCACCACCAGUUGUUUGGAGGGCGCGGGCGUUGCCCUUGCUGCCCUUCGGUGCCUCCUCCUAUGAGGGGUUCCCAAGCUUUCGGAAGAGUGAGUCGCCUGGAUGUUCUGCGGUUGCCGCUGGUGCAGCUGCCGUUGGGUUUCGUCCACUUUGGACGAAAGGUGGUGGUUGUGCUCUUGAAGCCUAGCCAUGUCCUUUCGCAGGGAUGCGAUUUGGGCUACUAGCUCGGCCUCGGCGGUUGUUUGGGUUGAUGGGGUGUUUCCGUAGGGAGUGCAUGGGGGUAGCGCUGGGCUAGCCCCAGCUUGCCUUCCGAACGGUGCCCCGUCCUCCGAUAGAAAAGUGGGUAUUGAAGUGGUCCCCAUGUGUUUAGGGGAUAGUGGGUUAAUUGUUUUUCGUUUCCCACAAACGGCGCCAAACUGUUGAUGCGAAAAAGUGGUUUGACACGUGGUUCGCCCAACUUAGUGAUAUUGUGUCUUCGGAAGGGAGUUAGUCUUCGGAAGAUCAAGUUCCUACAAAAAGGGAACGUUCGGUAAGACCUUGGGGUACCGGUGCGGUACCGGCCGAAGGCUCUCCGAUGCUUAAGUAAGUACGGAUUUAGUAAAGUUUAGACUACAGAUCAAGCGGUAGCGUACCGUUGGUUUUUUCUGUCCUCCUCUUUUGGGAAUAGGGGUCUCCUUAUAUAGGCCUUGGGAGGCGUGCAUUAUGUUUAUAUUUCCGAUGUGGGACUGUAGGAGCUGGUCGAGAGCAUGACACGUGUCCUAGGUCAAAAGUGUCAGGAUAUGUAGGAUCCGGUAGGGGAUAUGCCGAAGGGCCUGCGAUAUCAUGUUGUCGUUUUCGUCCACGUGUCAGUCGGUCAUUGGUUGUUAAUAUGCGGUAUAAACAGAGUUUACUGGAUUGGGGAGAUUGGGGCGUGUGUGGUGGUUGGCAUGUGGGCUGGUGAGGGUGGGUGUGGCUGACGGCUUCUCUUCCCCUUGUAUUAUUAUUAUGGGUAAAUUACUCAAAUGGUCCUCAAACUUGUACGCGAUUUACAUUUUGGUCUCUAAAUUAAAUUAUUAGUUUAAAUGGUACAUAAAUUCUAUUUUAAUCGCCUAUUUGAUCCAACCGUUACAUUCUGUCAAAAUUGCUGUUAAAUAUGAGAGCAAAUUGGUCAUUUCGUACGUUAAAAUAAAAAAAUAAUAAAAAAUAAAAUAAAAACUCAGUAAUUGGAAUAUGGGAGAAGAAAUCGAAGGGAGGGGGUUUGGUCCUCAUGAUUUUUUCCUCUCUUUUUCUUCAAUUAUUUUCUAAUUUUGUAUUUAUUUUAACCCUAUUUUAUUUGUUAAUUAUGAAAAGUCGUAUUUACUCCUAAAAUUUGGUUACAUUGAACAGAAAAUGUAACGGUUGGAUCAAGUGAGCGAUUAAAAUAGAGUUUAUGUACCAUUUGGACUAAUAAUUUAAUUUAUGGACCAAAAUGUAAAUCGCAUACAAGUUUGAGGACUAUUUGAGUAAUUUACCCUUAUUAUUAUUUUCUUCUCUCUUUCCUGUUUUUGGACUUUAAUGCCCCUCAACAAGUUACAGCAAUUAACCUAAUUUUACAGAAAUUAAAGAUUGGACUUGAAUUGCUUAAAUUGAAAACCACAAGGGUAAAACUGAUCAAAUUGAAAAUAUAGGGACUUUAGUGGUAAAAGUGGUAAACCACAUGGACUAAAAGUGACGUUUUUACAAAAAAAAAAAAGAUUUUGGAAUGAGCUCAUGGGCAAAGACAAUUGAUAAUGUGGGUUUUCUUGAUUUUUUUUCUUAAGGUUUGUUUAUAACAUUUGUGAUGAGUGGGAGGUUUUAAUUGUUACGUUAUGGGGUUUGUUUCUUUAAAUGUAAUGGUGAAGACUUCUGUUUCAAUUGUAGAAUGAAUGUCCAUUAGUGUUCUCAAAUUUUCUUGAAUUGGGGUUAUUUGAGUAUCUGGGCAAUGCACAGAAACUGAGUAGAACAAAUUAAAAGUCAUUCCAUUCUUGACCACAUGGGCAAUUUACAAAAUGAACAUCCAUAUAAACAUUCCAAACAUUCCAAUGACUGAGUUUGAGCCCUUCUAGCUCAAAACCAUUGAAGACCAAUUACAGAGUUUGAGCCAUUCCAUUCAAGACCAAUUAUACAAAGGACACAAAAUUCACCUGCUUAGAAAAGUACAUAUCUCAAAAUAGACAACCAAUUACACAGUUUGAGCCCUUCUAGCUCAAAAUCAAUUAGACAAAGUACCCAAAAUCCUCCUGCCCAGAAAGUACCUAAGCCAGAAUAGGCAAGCAAUUACACAGUUUUAGCCCUUCAAACUCAAAACUAUUUACACAAUCCAAACUCAGCUUUGAAGACUAUUUACACAAAAUCCCCAUGCCCAUAAAAGUACAUAUCCCAAAAUACACAACAUAUGACACCCUUGGCAAUAGUUUUCCCUAUUUUCAAGCCAUGUUAUUAUCAUGGGAAAUGUUGUCCCAAUCUGCUCCUCCUUGUCCCCUUCCUCUUGCCACCUAAACAAUGUAGUAAUGUCAGGUGUGUAAAGGUUUGAAAAUUUGUUAAUUAGUCAAAUGAGUAAGAAUUAAACCAAAGAAAAAUAACUUACACUUGGCUUUGAAGAUGGUAAGCCUCUUCCUCUACUUAUGCCUCUUCCUAAGCCUCUUCCUCUAAUUGCACUUAGCUGUAAAAAUGGUAAACCUCUUCCUAAGCCAAUAUGUGAAUAUGGUAAGACUUCUUGUCCACUACCUCUUGUCACUUGAAAAGGUUACUGAUGUUUAUUGUUUUUGAAUGACUUAAGCAAUAAAAAAUUGAAUGGUUGAGAAAAUAAAACUUACACUUUAUUGUGAAUUUGGGUAAAUAGUGGCUUCAGCAACAUUGCCUAUUUCCCCACUUACGUCUUUCCCUCUACUUAUACCUUUCCCUCUACUUAUGCAUCUCCCUCUGACUGUGCUAGAUCAUGGUUGUGAAGAAGAACCUUGCUCCAUUUGGGCUGAAGAUGCAUUAACCUGCAAAUGUAUAAGAAAAUUAUUAAGCAAUUGGGCCAUAACAUAGAACUAAACAAGGUGUCUAACUGUCAUACAUGUUGGUUUUCAUUGUUUUGUCUGUCACAUGUUGCUCUACUAUGGCCUCUUUGACCACAUCCACGAUAUCUUAUUUGAAUGAAAAAUGUCACAUCCCGGGAUCAACUCCGCCGUAGCACGAUAUUGUCCACUUUGGGCCCCCCUCUCAACUCUCACGGUUUUGUUUCUGGGAACUCAUGAGCAACUUCUCAGUGGGUCACCCAUCCUGGGAUUGCUCUAGCCCCCAACUCGCUUAACUUCGGAGUUCCUACGACUCCGAAGCCAGUGAGCUCCCAAAAGGCCUCGUGCUAGAUGGAUACGGGUGUGCACAUAUAAGGCACAUCACCCCCUCUCCGUUGUUUGAUGUGGGAUCUUACAAUCCACCCCCCCUUAAGGGCCCGACGUCCUCGUCGGCACACUCACACCACACGGCAGAGUGGCUCUGAUACCAAAUUGUCACAUCCCGAGAUCAACUCCGCCGUAGCACGAUAUUGUCCGCUUUGGGGCCCCCUCUCUGCCCGCACGGUUUUGUUUCUGGGAGCUCACGAGCAACUUCCCAGUGGGUCACCCAUCCUGGGAUUGCUCUGGCCCCCAACUCGCUUAACUUCGGAGUUCCUACGACCCCGAAGCGAGUGAGCUCCCAAAAAGUCUCGUGCUAGAUGGAUGCGGGUGUGCAUAUAUAAGGCACAUCACCCCCUCUCUGUUGGUUGAUGUAGGAUCUUACAAUCCACCCCCUUAAGGGCCCGACGUCCUUGUCGACACACUCGCACCACACGGCAGAGUGGCUCUGAUACCAAAUUGUCACAUCCCGGGAUCAACUCCGCCGUAGCACGAUAUUGUCCGCUUUGGGCCCCCCCUCUCUGGCCCUCACGGUUUUGUUUCUGGGAACUCACGAGCAACUUCCCAGUGGGUCACCCAUCCUAGGAUUGCUCUAGCCCCCAACUCGUUUAACUUCAGAGUUCCUACGACUCCGAAGCCAGUGAGCUCCCAAAAGGCCUCGUGCUAGAUGGAUGCGGGUGUGCACAUAUAAGGCACAUCACCCUCUCUCCGUUGGUUGAUGUGGGAUCUUACAAGAUCUCUCCCAAUUUUCAGUAAAUCUAACAAGGAUAGAAAAUCCUCUACAAUAUUGUCCAAAUAACAUACCUUACCUUUUUAAAAAACCCGAUUUUCAAACCAACCCCCAUGAUGUAAUUGUAGAGUGCACAUUCCAUUGGUAGCUGUAAAUUUGAAACAACAAUAUGUUAAUUUAAAGUCAGAGUUUUGUCAUUACUACUAAGGACAACAAUUACUGAGUUGGAUGUGAAGCAGACAACCAAGGGACCAUAGACAUUUAUAAAAACCCCACAUUCAACAUUUCAGACAAAAUAAAGCUUACACUCUGCAGUCAAUGUACCAAAAGCCAAAUCCACAUGCAGGAAAAUGAUUCAUUUACCCUUACUUUAAAUAUAAAAUAACCAAAAAGCCAAACACAAACACAGAAAAAUGAAUCUUUUACGCAAAAAGAAACUGCACUUCCAGACAAGGACAACUCAUCCAUUUCCAAACAAAAACAACAUAAAAUGCAUUACAGAAGCCCUUACUGUAUUUGGGAGUCUUUCCACCUGAACGGAAUUUGAACUCCAUUAUCAGCAAGCAAUGAAUUUUCCAAAAUCCCCAAAAUCAAACCCUAACCCAAACUCCGAAAUUUGAACUCCAAAAUUAAUACUGAAAUUACACACUAACUUAACCAAUUCAGCGACUGGCACACUACUACAGCAUCGAACAAUUCAACCAUUUGAAUUACAAUCCCUUUCAGUCUAUGGUAAUCGCCUAAAACAAGAGAAACAUUGAAUAAACUGUAGGUAUUUUGCUUUUAAAAGAUAGAGCUUCUCAAAAAGUCGCAUAUACCCUUUAAAACUCAGUCACGUGGCAUCGCGUGAUCAGAAGUAACGGAAUAUGUCACGUAUGACCAUUUGGAUACAAAAUAAAGAGUUUAAGGACGGUUCAAAUGAAAAUUUUAGUUGAUUGACCAAAAUGAUACUUGAACGAUAAUUUGGGGACCAUUUUGAUUAUUAACCCUUAUUGCUAAAUUGGGAGGACUAGGUUUGGAGUUCUUGAUUCAAUUUUUUUUUUUUUUUUUUUUUUAAUGUUGGGCUUUGGACUGGGUAGCCAAUACCACAUACUCUUUCUGAAAAUUCUACCUGCCUUCAUUUCAACUUCUAUUUAGUACACUUUUUGGUUGUCGUUAAUUUUAAUUUAGUGUCCUUAACUCUAUCUCUUAGAUCAAGUCCACCGCAAAGGGGUAGCCUAGGCAAAAGGGGCCUUGGGCCUGAAAGGAAGCCUCAGUGCUCAAGACCCAGCUCGGGCAAAGCGUGGGACUAACGAGCCCACCCAAGCUCAUGGGGAGAUUUGGCAUGUCGUGUUGCCUUCGGGCAGAUGAUGUCAGCACUGACGCUAGCGUUGAGUUAGCGUUGCCAGAAACCAACGGCUACAAGCCAACUGGCUUCUCUUAGAGGCUCCAAUUCUAAAAUCUCCUCCAAUCCAAAGGCUGUACUUUUUUUGGCUAAAAAAUUGAAAAAAAUCGAAAAAAUUUGUAAAAAAAAUAUGAAAAAAAAUCUUGAAUUUUUUUUUUCUAUAAAUACCUACCAAUAUUAUUCACUUUCCAUACCAAAUCUUCAUACAAAUUCUUCUCCUUCCAAUAUUUUUCACUUUCUACACCAAAGUUUCUACUACUAAAUUCCAUUCGUGUUUGUGUAAAAAUACAAAUGGCCACUUUCAUCGAAGCCGGAGGCUCGUGGAUAACAGUGGAAGAUAUUUUGUUAUGUGAGUGUUGGGUCAAAGUUGAUCAUUGUCCGAUCAUCAUAGACAAUGAGACGAAGUCUGCUCAUAUGUGGAGAAAAAUUCAUAGAGAAUUUUGUGAAAGAUCGGGUUUGGCUCGUACGGAAAUGGCUUUAGUUAGUAGGUGGAAAUUUUUAAAUAAAUAGUUAGGGGAAUGGAGAGAUGCGUUGGCAAAAAUGAAGGAGAACGUUCGAAGCGGUCAAAAUCUUGGCGAUGGGGUAAAAUAUUUCUAAAUGCCAUUUUAUUCAAUUUAAUGUCACAUUUUUUUUAUAUAUUUUCUUGCAUUUUCAAUUUUAUUUUUUAAAUAAAUUAUUCAACCACAAAUGUGGUUUUGUGCCAUUGGCCAAGGCAAAAAAAGUUCAUCAAUCACCAAUGUUGGGACGUUGUCAAGAUUUGUUCGAGACUCAAAAUUAUUUAUACUGUUCCGACAAUUGUGUUGAAUGAGACGCCGUUUCACGAUUCACGGGCCAAUUCGCCAUUAAACUCCCUAAUUGAUCAAGACUCACCAAUCCAACAUCAUCCGAGGCCUAUUAGGAGAAAGGCGGCAAAUGCCAAGAUAGGGAGCACUUCGAACACUGAAUGUUCAAAAAUUUUGGAGCAAAUUGCUAUCAACGACGCACUGAGAAUUGAGAGAGACUUAAAAAUAGAUGAAGCUGACAAGGCACGAUAUGAAGCAUAUGCAACAGAAAGGGUGCAGGCUUAACAACAAGACAUAGAGGCCAAAGAGAUGAAAAUCAUGGACAUGGAUACGAAUCAUAUGUCUCCUGAAACAAAGUCUUAUUGGAAUAGCUAAAACAAAGGGAUGUUACGAGAAGAAAGCUUUUCCAUAACGGUGGACCUAGCAACAUGGAUUGGUUAAAUUAUCAAAAUCAUUAGGUUGUAUUGAAAGAGUUGUCAUAUGUAUUAAUUUGUUCUAUUGUUUAUCUUUUAUUGAAUAAAGAAAGCAUUAAAUAAUAUAGCCAUUUAUUAAAAAGAUUUCAUACAUCAAAACAAAUCUUAAUUCAUUACAAACCACGCACUAAACAAAGCAUAAUUUAAAACAAACCAGUAUAAAAACAAAGCAUAAUUCCAAACAAAGCAUUAAACUUGACUUCAUCCAUCAUCAUUACCUUUCAUGGCCCAUAAGUGCUCGAUCAAGUCAACUUGACGUCUCUCGUGAAUAUAAGAAGAUUGUAUUUCCAUAUAAACGUCAAUCUUACGGUUGGUGUAUUGAAAGUCCCUAAUCAACGGUGCAUGCUCCAGUGGUUAUCCAUUUGCUCCCACGGGCCGAUCAUAAAUUCUUGUAAAUGCUGUGUUCAUAGGAUUGAGUUUGAACAUCUCAAGGGCACCAUAAUCAUACCCAUCAUCCACAAUCAUGUUAUGGAGGAUGAUGCAAGUUAUCAUAAUGCUCCGAAGCACCUCUUCAUCAAACAUACGAGCACCACCCCUAAUAAUUACCAAACGAACUUGCAAGAUACAAAAACACAUUUCCUUCUUCAAUUGGGGAUUCAUAAUUGUUUCCUAUAACCUUCUUGAAAUGCAAUGAAGCUUUUUUCCUUCUCCAAUUUGGGAUUCGGAAUUGUUUUGAUGAAUGUCGUCCACCUUAGAGAAAUUCCGUCAGCUAGGUAGUACCCAUCCGAGUAUACAGUAUUAUUGAUUUGAUACGUGAUCUGGGGGAAAUGACCCAUCAACACAUCAUUGAAUAUCAGCGAUUGACCAAGCACGUUGAGGUCGUUUUGAGAUCCGGCAACUCCGAAAAAGGCAUGCCAAACCCAAGUAUCAAAUGAUUCAACGACCUCCAGAAUGAUACUUUUUUUGCCCUUCCUAUUCCCAUAAUCUCCUUUCCAAGCAAUUGGGCAAUUCUUCCACUGCCAGUGUAUGCAGUUGAUGCUUCCAAUCAUGCCUACGAAAUCUCGAGCUUCAACUUUUUGUAAAAGCAUUUGGAGGUCCUUAUGUGCAGAUUUGCGGAGGUAAUCCCUCGUCUAGAGAGUUUCUAUUGCAUCACAUAAUCUGACCACGCAUUCUAGGAUAGUUGAUUUCCCCAUCCUAGCAAUCUCAUCCACCUGGUCUGUAGAUGCCCCAUACGCAAGUAUCUGUAAAGCAGCUAUAAGUUUUUGCUCCGAAAGAAAAAUUUCAAACGACGCGCUACAGUAGCCGCCAACGGCUACAUUCCACGUGGCAACCUAUUGGCUCUCCAAUUCUUUUUUUUUCCUUCAAUCCAAUGGCAGGCAAUUUUUUGCAAUAAAAAAUUGAAAAAAAUCGAAAUUUUUUUAAAAAAAUACAUAAAAAUUACUGAAUUUUUUUUGAAUAAAUACCAACCAAUACUCAUCACUUUUAACACCAAAUCCUCUUACAUUUUCUUCUUUUUCUUCUACUAUUAUUCACUUUCUCCUCAAUAUUUAUUCACUUUCUACUCAAUAUUUUUUUCACUUUCAAGUUGUAUUUUUGUCUAUCAUAUUAUGGGUUCUUCUACUGAAAAUGGAGGGGCAUGGAGCAUGAUGGAAGAUGUUAGCUUGUGUGAGGCUUGGGUCCAAGUUAGUCAUUGUCCCGUAAUGGGCAAUGAGAUUAAAUUUUCUCGUAUGUGGAAAAAAAUUCAUCAAGCAUUUUGUGAAAGGGCAAUUGGUUCUACACGUACAGAAAUGGCAUUAUCCAGUAUGUGGAAAGUUCUUAAUAAAGAGUUUGUGAAAUGGAGAAAUGUCUUAGCAAAAGCGAUGGACAACCAUCGAAGCAGAGAAAACCUUAGCAGUGAGGUAAAUUAUUUGUCAUUUUCGUUCUAUUAAUUUCUAUGUCAUAUUCAUUUUUAUUUAAAUGUUUCUUGCAAUUUAUAUAUUUUGUUAAUAUGUCUCUAGUUUUUUUUAGGGCUCUUUAGUUUUAACCCAUAAAAAACUUAACUAAUUUGGAAGAAAGAUAAUUAAUUUUGCUUAAUUAAUAUAAAACCAAAGCCACCUAAUUUUACCAAAAGGACAUCCAACAACCCUAAAAUUACUACAUGUGCCAUUGUGCUUAACUGUCAAAUACAUUUUAUUUAAGGGUAGAAUUGUCUUAUCAGUUGUUAUUUUUUACCUGGCCCAACGAAUCUGGGCCUCUCUUUGGGCUAAUCCAAAAUAAUAGUUUUUUCCUAGGUAUUAAAACUAAAACCAAAAUAUCCAAUAUCUUACAAACUAAUUAAUAAAGUUAAUUAUGUCUAAAACCUAAUUUUUUUUUUUUUUUAUACAUGUUGCAUUUUUUUUAAAUUUAUCGAAUUUGCAUUAGUUUUUUUUACAUGUUGCAUUGCCAAUAUUUUUAAAAGUUUCUUGCAUUUCCAUUUAAUUUUUUUUUAUAGAUUAUGCAAGCACAAAUGUGGUUUGGUGCUACUGGGCAAGGGAAAAAAAGUUUCAACCAUACCCAUUGUUGGGAGGUGGUGAAGACUUGUAAGAGAUUCCAAAUUAUUCCAACCGGUCCGACGGUAGUCUUGAACGAGACUUCACUUUAUGAGACGCCGGCAUCGGAUUCACCUAUGGAUUUCCCGAUGAGUCAAGAUUCACCCAUUGAAAAGGAGCCAAGGCCUAUUGGGAGGAAGGCGGCGAAGGUGAGGAGAUGGAGUAAUUCUAGCAAGAAUGCAUCUAAAUUUUUGGAGGAACUUUCAAAGAACCAAGCCAUGCGAAUUGAAAUGGACUUGAAACAACAAGAGCACGAUAUGGCUAUUCAACUAGAAUAUGCAAAAGAAAUGGAGUAUGUACGCGAACAAAACAUUGAAAAAAAAGAUCGGGAAACCAUGGCCAUGGAUACAAGCCAUAUGUCCCCUGAAACAAAACAAUUUUGAAAGCUAGAACGAAGGGAUAUUAUGAGACGAAGACUUUUUCGUGACGAUGGACCUAGCAACACGGAUUGGUUAAAUGAUGAAAACCAUUAAAAUAGUUUGCUUGCCUUUCAUGUCUUAGUUUACUUGCCUUUGAUUUCAUUGUAUUUUUUGUUUUGUUUAAUUCAUGUAUUUAUUUUAUUAGUUGUAUUGCUUUUCUUUUAGUGAAUAAAGAAAAUAUUCAACAAAAAUCCUUUUUAUUCAAAACAUUCCAUACAUAAAAAACAAACCACAACCAAAGCAUUAAAAAAAAAAAAAAAACCACAACCAAAGCAUAAAAAAUAAACAAACCAUAACCAAAGCAUAAAAAAUAAACAAACCACAACCAAAACAUAAAAAAUAAACAAUCCACAACCAAAGCAUAAAAAAUAAACAACCCACAACCAAAGUAUAAAAAAUAAACAACCCACAACUAAAAAUAAUAAAGUAUAAAAAAAACAAAGCAUAACUAAAAAUACAACAUAAACAUAAUAAAUUUAAAAAAAAAAGAAUCUUCACUUCACUUCAUUCACCUUCAUUGCCUUUCACCGCCCAUAAAUGCUCCAUCAAGUCAACUUGACGGUGUUCAUGAAUAUACGAAGAUUGCAUCUCCGUGUAGCGAUCAAUCAUACGGGCAUGAAACUACCAUCUCUAACCAACAGUUCAUGCUGCACUGGUUCUCCAUUUGGCCCCACUGAUUUUUCAUAAAUUCAUGUUAGGGCCGUGUCCAUGGGAUUUGGUUCAUACACUUCAACAGCAUCAUAAUCAUAUUCAUCUUCCACAAUCAUGUUAUGGAGGAUUAUACAAGUCAUCAUUAUACUCCUAAGCACCUCCUCGUCAAAUAGACGUGCCGCGCCCCUGAUAAUAGCCCACCGGACUUGAAGGAUACUAAAGCACCUCUCAACAUCUUUUCUGUACCCCUUUUGAUAGCGAGCAAAAAAAUUUUGCUUAUGGGACCGGGGAUGUGGAAUUGUUUUUACAAAUAUUGUCCACAUCGGGUAGAUGCCAUCAACUAGAUAAUACCCGUUCUAGUAGAUGAUAUUGUUAAUUUCAUAUGUGAUAUUUGGGGCGUACACAACAGUCUGUGACCCGAAGGUAGAAUUUUCGCAAAAAGCCCUUUUUUUUUGUCUGAACCAAUAAUGCCAUUUGACUGACAUAAAUACAAAAAUUCUCUCCCAAUUGGAGCUCAUAAAAACAUUUGGGAGGAAAGAAACCCUGGAGUUUUGAGCCUGGGUGUCAAGCAGGGGGAAGGGGGGAGGCCACCAAUAUGGUACCUGCUUUCGACGGAGCUCAUCAUUUUAGUGCGAAUAUUUGACCUCGCUUUGAUUCAGAAUUUCGAAAUUUGUUUGCCUUCGUUUCCUGGGCAAGGCAAAACCCUCCUCAUUCUUCAAUUUCCAUGAACACUACGGUACUCUCUCUCUCUCUCUCUCUCUCUCUCUCUCUCUCCGUGUUGGUCCUACAUAGAUUGUGAUAAAAAUGUACCGGUAUCUCAAUCAUAUAGGAAAAUCAAGAUUUGGAGCUUUCAUCUGGUACGUAAUUGCAGUGUUCCAUGGAUUAUUAGGGUUCUUGUAAUCAAGAAAUAGUUUUUUUAUUUUUUAUUUUCUGAAGUACUGCUUCCUCCUGCUUCAAGAUAUGGGUUUUGAUUUUCUUUCUUGUUAAUUUCAUAGGUUAUCAGCAAGAGCUAUUAACAAUGAGUGAUUCAGGUGUGUUAUGGUGUGUGUGUGUAUAUAUAUAUAUAUAUAUAUGUGUGUGUGUCUGUCUGUCUGUCUGUUUUUUUCCUUUUAAAAAAUUGCUAAUGGUUCUAAUGCUCAUCAGGUUCCUCCACAUUAAGUUAUGAGUCCCCAUCAAGCGAUGAGGAGCCAGAUGGGCGUGCUCUGGUGGGUGAUGGGAUUGGUUUUCCAGAGUCGAUCAAUUAUUUUGCACCGAGGUAAUUUUCCUUCAUGCCCCUAGGAAAUAAAAAACUCUUAACUUUUCCUUAAGAUGAGAUAAUAGUUUUAUGGCCUUAUACAUCUAAAGGGUUCUACCUAGCAACCCAAUGAAACAGUUCGAAUAAAUAUUUGGGGUAUCAAAAACUCUUAAAGUUUAAUUAUAAACUAACAUUACAGGGCAUCAAAAAAUCUUAAAAUUUUUAUAGGAUUCUACCUAACAAACCAAUCAAACAGUUUUCUGAGCAUUACCAAAAUUGUUUCCCAUUAGAUAAUGUAUGAGAUGUAUUAUUAUAUGUAACCCAAUUUCAAGAAACUCAUGAGGAACUUUCAGGAUAAAUAAGAGGACUCUAGUUGUACCUUUUUAAUCAGGUCAGUUUUCCUGAAUUGUUUAUGGAUGAUGCAAAUUUUCACAAAUCACUACACAAUGCACAUUAUGAAAUUAGUUCAAAUAAAAUAUUUGGUCUGUAUUUUUUCAAGCAUGUUUAUGCUUCUGAUGGUUAUUUCUGAUAAUUUCUGGUAUAACGAAUUUGGAACUGUCUUGAUGCCAAUAAAAACCUGAUUCCUCAAUUUGUGACUGUGACUUGCUUCUUUCAGCACCAACUACACACAUGCAGCCUGCCUGAUCUUAGCUGUAGAACGAUUGUACGAUGAAAUGAUUACUUCUUUCUCAAUUUCAAGAAACUUAUGAGGAACUUUCAAUAUCAAUAAUAGGACUCUAGUGUACCUUUUUAGUCAGCUCAGUUUUCUUGAAUUGUUUCUGGAUGAUGCAAAUUUUCACAAAUCACUACAAAAUGCACAUUAUGAAAUUAGUUCGAAUAAAAUAUUUGGUCUGUAUUCUUUAAGCAUGUUUGUGCCUCUGCUGGUUAUUUCUGAUAGUUUCUGGUAUAACGAACUUGUAACUGUCUUGAUGCCAAUUAAAACCUGAUUUUUUAAUUUGUGACUCUGACUUGCUUCUUUCAGCACCAACUACACACAUGCAGCCUGCCUGAACUUAGCUGUAGAACGAUUGUACGAUGAAAUGAUUACUUCUUUCUCAAUUUCAAGAAACUUGUGAGGAACUUUCAGGAUAAAUAAUAGGACUCUAGCUGUACCUUUUUAGGCAUCUCAUUUUUCCUGAAUUGUUUAUGGAUGAUGCAAAUUUUCACAAAUCACUAAAAAAUGCACAUUAUGAAAUUAGUUCAAAUAAAAUAUUUGGUCUGUAUUCUUCAAGCUUGUUUAUGCUUCUGCUGGUUAUUUCUGAUAGUUUCUGGUAUAACGAACUUGUAACUGUCUUGAUGCUAAUUAAAACUUGAUUCCUUAAUUUUGUGACUGUGGCUUGUUUCCUCAGCACCAACUACACACAUGCUGAUUACUUUUUUCUCAUAGAUGACAGUAACAACCUUUUAAUGUCUUCUUUUCUCUCACCCAGGACCUUACAGGCAGAUCAGGACCCCGCAGCUUUAAUUCCAGUCUAUCUCAUAAGGAGGCAUGUCGGUGACUUAAUUGGCAAUGUAGAUCGCCUUUUGCUGCGGGAUUACCAUAAUCUCAAGUAUGAGCUGAAGGUGAUUGCUUUUCAUAGGGGCAUCACUGGCCGGUUCUACAUUCGAUUCAAAAUAUGGUCAGACUUCUAGAUGGAACUCGGGUUUGCCUCCACAGAUUUAUUCGCCAACCACUAGAGGAAAUGACCGUUGAGGGAAUCUAUUUGGCAGAGGGCAGGUCAGCAAACUAUUCAUUUGAUAUUUAAGUGUUGUAAGUUCUUCAUUAAAAAAACUAAUUUAAAAAGGCUUACCAGUGACAUAGUUGAACCUAGCCUAGAUCAACACGAGCAAGUGUUGGACGAUGAUUUAGAUCCAGAGGAUGAUGAUUAUCCAGAGAAUGAUUAUCCAAAUCCAGAUCCAGAUGACGGAUGGUUUGAAGAUGAUGGAAGACGCGACCAUGAACUCUUGAGGUUAGCAUUAAUUAAAACGUAAGGUUAGAAAAUUGGGAUUAUUUAAAACACAAUGUAACCCACUGAUUUUAUCUGUUUUUCAGCUUUUAUCAAGAUGAGAUGGGAGUUGUGCUAUUGAUACCGGGACUGAAUAAUCCAAUUCAAAGACAAUUGGGUUGGGUCUUUAGGCGCACUUCCACUGCCCUUGAAAGUCUCAAUUCACAAAUCUGUUUUUGUGCGGCUCGAGCAAGGUUGCCAAGUGAGUACAGAAAGAUAUUCAAAGAUGGUGAUGGAGAUGGAGAUGAUUGUUUUGUGCCCGAAGAAGGUAAUGACGAGGAGUGGCAUGCAUUUGUAGAGAUGUUAAGUGAGAUUGAGCUCCACGCUACCAGGUGUGUAGAAAUAUGUUUAUUUAUUCUUUUUGUUUUUCAGUUUUAUUUGAUAUAAUAUAAUACAUAUCAGUUGAAAUACUGCUUACAACACAAGGUCUGAUGAUUCUUUAACAUGCCUCUGGUUAUUUAUAUGAAAAGCUAUGACAUGCCAGUUGUACAUUUGAACAAGUGUUUAUAUUUCUAAAUGAUUGACUAUGCAAAUCAUACAAUUAAUCCUUAGCAGACUUCAAUUAUAAUAGUGAAUAUCUAAUUAACAACUCAAUAAAAUGCAAUAAUAAAUGCAUAUUAAAGGCUCGUUGUUUGUCUUUGUUAGUUGAUUCUCUUGUCAAGACAGUUGUGUUUUUAAUUAUGUCAGUCAUGUUAGUGUGAGUUUGGGCUUUCCUGUUGCAUUGAUUUUUUUUAUUUUUUUUUGGAGGGGGCCGCGGCGGGGCUGCUAGAACAGAAAAGUUAGAAUAAAAUGGUCUAAAGAAAGUUUGUUUGCACAUCAAAGUUGGAUGAAUAGGAUUUUCUUCUUGUGAAAACAUUCGUGAUAUUGAUCUGUUUAGACGUUAAAACUUGUGCUUUGCCCUUCCUUAUGAAACUUUGUCUAUAGUUGAUCUUAUUCCUUAUUUCUCCUUACUUUGAUAUUUCAGGAUUGACGGAGAUUGAAAUUCAAGUUAGAGAAGUUCGGUUCGGAUGUACAAAUUAGUUGGGCCAUAGUUUUUUUGUUGUUGUCUCUGCUGGUAAAUUCAAAGAGGGACAAGUCUGGAGGGGAGUGUGCUGCUGAGGAAGGUAUCCCCAUUGAUGAGUCCAAUCCAAGUACAAAACCAAUAGCCGCUAAUAUGAUCAUUGAUCAUUGACUUCCAAGCUCAAAUGUCUGUGACUUUGUGGGAUUUUUUGGCUUCUAGUGUUUUUGCUUUAACUCGAGUUGUAGCUACUGUCUUUGUAUUUCCUAGUUGGUUGUAGUUUUCGUACUUCUUGUCCAAGUAUGUUGUUGGAUAAAAUAUCAUACCUUCAUGGCCGAAUAAGUCACGAAACAGGCGCUUCAAGAAUGCAUAAUCCGGGCGUUGAUCAAAUGUUAGAGUGGCAAUAAUGGAAAUAGGUGCGAACUCCACAGGAUGAGACUUACAUAGGACCUUGAAAACAGAUUUCACAAUCAGUUCAUUAUGACCCCCCCAAUUCGCAAGAUGCAAAACUAUCACCUAAUGGAAAGUGGCACAUACCUCAAUGGGAGUUGAUAGCUUCUUCUCACAAAUCUUAUCAUAUUUUUGCUUCUUCGUUGCAGCUUUAAGACCCUGCCAAAGAAGGCUAAAUGCAGAAACCAGUUAGUCAGGCCAUGAACUAAUAUAGUACUUUGUUAUCUGGUCAAAACAUUGUGCAAACCAUACAAGUCAUCAAAAUGACAAAAAUUCUAACUGGAACUCCAGUGGAAAUUCUCUUCUGAAAUGUGGUAUUGACUUUAUAGAAAUUUAGUUAUAUACCCAAUAUUAAACAUAGUCUUAUAAAGAAACUCUAUACUAUUUAAAAACUAUAAACACACCCAAAAAAAAUCCAAAAAUUGAUUAGUUGUAAAUUUUUGUUAAUUUAAUAGCUGUUUUUUAGUUUAUUUGUGUGUGUUAAAUACCUAUAUUGCCCUUGUAUUAUGGAUUUGAGAGAAAAAAAUCAGAUCUGCCAAAAAAACAGAUUUGCCAAAAAACCAAAUCAGAUUUAUUUUCUCCUUUCUUGCUGGUGCUUUCUCUGGUGUUGGAGCAAGAGGAGCUUCCAUUGAAGCUCAGUCUCAAGUCCAACUAUAUUCUUCAUCUUUAAUCUACAAUUUUCAAUAUUUCACCUUCGAUUUCUUGUUUAAAAAUCGUGCUUCUAUUUUUUUUUUCUUCGGAUUAUUCAAGACCUCGAACGAACUUUGAUCAAAUGCUCUUAGCUCUACUCCUCAUCUUCGAGCUCUACUCCUCUUCGCCACGUCGUCGUUGUCGUUGUCAUCAUCAUUGUCGUCGUCGUUGUUUAGUUUGGACUUGAGAUUUUUGAUCUUUGAUUCAAUUUUGUGUUUCUCUUCAGAUUUUAGUUGAUUUUCGAAAUGUAUUUUAAGAUUUGAUGAUUGAUUUAUCUUUUUAUUACUAUUUCAGUUAUGGAUCUUAUUUUUGUUUAACAAUGUACUUCUAUGACAGAGUAUUAACAAUGUACUUCUAUUACAGAGUAUUAACAACGUACUUCUAUGACACAAUAGUAUUAACAAUUUGGGCUCAACUUGUUUUGAGUUGGUCAGGUUUGUUCUUUCUUCAUCUUUUUUUUGUUGGACAUGUAUUAGAAAUAGCAACAUGACAAGCAUUAAUCGACAUGAUAGUGAACUAGCAGUGUUAUUACCCUAGACUGGAACAUUACAGGGGUAGACAUGCGUUAGAAAUAGGAUGUCAUAUGAGAGUAGCAGUGUUGUUACCCUAGACAGGGGUAUACAUGCAUUAGAAAUAGGAUGUCAUAAUAAACUAGCAGUGUUAUUACCCUAGACUGGAACAUUACAGAGGGUAGACAUGCAUUAGAAAUAGGAUUUCAUAGGAAACUAGCAAUGUUAUUACCCUAGACUGGAACAUUACAGCAAUUAAUCAACAUGAUAGUAAACUAGCAAUGUUAUUACUCUAGACUGGAACAUUACAAAGGUAUACAUGCAUUAGAAAUAGGAUGUCAUAGGAAAUAGGAUGUCAUAGGAAACUAGAAGUGUUAUUACCCUAGACUAGAACAUUACAGGGGUAGACAUGCAUUAGAAAUAGGAUGUCAUAGGAAAAUAGCAGUGUUAUUGUCACAACCCGGGAUCGGCUCUGCCGUAGCACGAUAUUGUCCGCUUUGGGCCCCUCCUCUCUGCCCGCACGGUUUUAUUUCUGGGAGCUCACGAGCAACUUCCCAGUGGGUCACCCAUCCUAAGAUUGUUCUGGCCCCCAACUCGCUUAACUUCAGAGUUCCUACGACUCCGAAACCAGUGAGCUCCCAAAAGGCCUCGUGCUAGAUGGAUACGGGUGUGCACAUAUAAGGCACAUCACCCCCUCUCCGUUGGUCGAUGUGAGAUGUUACAGUUAUUACCCUAUACUUGAACAUUACAGCCAUUAAUCAACAUGACAGCAAACUAGCAGUGUUAUUACCCUAGACCGGAACAUUACAGCCAUUAAUCAACAUGAUAGUAAAGGUGUGGAAUAUUACAGUCAUUAAUCAACAUAACACAUUAAUGAAGCUAUGGUUUUCAAGACGUUUUGUUUGUAAUGAAUUGUUUGGGUUUUUUUUUAUAAAAUUGGGCUGGGUUUGUUUUAGGUGCUAUUUAAAUUUUUUGUGUUGGACUUCUUUUUUAAGUUGAUUAAUGGCAAUCACGUAAUUUAUAGAAACUUAAACACCAAUUUCUUAUGUAGUAAAUGAGUUUUGGGUGUAUUUCUAAAGUGAAUUCUAUGUGGAGUUUUGUUUUAUAAUUUCAGCCCCCAUUUUGGAUAUAUUAGUGAAGCUCCCUUGACUUUACUACAUACCUUCCUCUUAAGAAGUAUAGAAGAACAUAGCCAAGUGACUCCAAAUCAUCCCGACGACUCUGAUUUAAAACAAUGAAACAACAGAAUGAGGAAGCAGACAGCCAAGCAUAUAGAACAGCAGACUUAAGUACCUCUCUACUUACCAAUUCCCAAAUGGGUAUUGCAACUAGCAUAACGUGCAGUUCCUGUUAAGCUUUUGUUUUCUCUGUAUGAUUUCAUCAAGGAAAAUAGAAAUAUUAAGCCAAACAUGGGUAUUGAAUAAAUAAAGGAAGUAGAAAAAUUAUGCUACACUGUUGGUGAAUAAACAAUUCAGAGAUGCAUUUUCAUAGGAUUGUAUCUUGUUAUGUAAACAAAGAAACUUGCCGGCUUAUAAUUGAAUUUCAGUCAAAUAUCAACAAAAGGAAUUCUUUACAUAAUCUCAUAUUAUGUCGCUAAAGUGCGUAUCACUGUAAACAGCGCAGACUCAAAAGCAAAAAAAUUGCCCAGGAAGAGCCCAUGCAAGAGAAAUAAGGUCCAGUUUGGGAUUGCUGUCAUUUUUUAAAAAAGUUGCUUCUAUUGUGCUUUAAAAAUAAUUAGCAGUAAAGUAAAGCAGCUUCAUGUUUGGUAAACAAUAUUUUUAAAUUGUUGUUAGUAUAAAAAGCAGUGUCAAAAUCGUUUAGUAAAUUUUAAUAUAAAAUUGUUGUAACUGUGAAUAAUGACUAAAAUAGACAUGAUGUUGGAAGUGUUAUGUACUACUCAUGUGGUGGAAGUGGUGGUGAUGAAGGUGGAGUUGGUGGUGGUGGAGAUGGCAGUUGUGGAGGUGGUGGUGGUGGUGGCAGUGGCAACAUAGUGGUGGUAGUGGUGUUGGUUAUGGAGGUGGUGGUGGAUGCAGAGGUUUUGGAGGUUGUGGUGGUGGUGGUAGAGAAGGUGGCGGUUGCGGUGGUGAAAGGCAGAGGAUGAGGAGGAGGAGGAUGUGGUGGUGGUGAUGGUGGUUGUGGAGGUAGUGAUUUUGGUGGUGCAAGUGGUGGAGUUGGAUGUUGAAGUGGAGGUGGUGUCAUUUUUUAAAAUGAAUGAUGGUAUUUUGGGAAUUAAAAAAAUUCAUUAAAAGUUCAUCUCUGCUUCUUUUGAAAGCAUCUCUACUUCUUUUGAAAGCAGCUUUGAAAAGCAACACAGAGCCUGCUUUUAAAAGCUGCUGUCAAAAGGCCACUGCUUUUAAAAUAAUCAUGAUAUUUUAUUUUUACCAAACACCUUAAACUGCUCAACUUUAAAGUGAAGCAGGUUUUUGACCAAAAAAACAAUCCCAAACAGGGCCUUAGCAUAAUUGAAUAAACAUCGUCAUCUAGUUGAAACUAGGCUAACUCUUUUGGUUCAUGCCUCUAUGCCUCUGUCAUAUCGGGCUGAGGCUUUUCAUACUGCUACUUACCUUAUUAAUCGUUUGCCCACUCGUGUGCUUCAAAAUGUUUCUCCUUAUCACAGGUUGUUUCAUAAGACUCCUCAAUAUGAUUUCUUUAAAGUUUUUGGUUGUGCUUGUUUUUCCUAUUUACGUCCAUAUAAUCAACAUAAGCUUCAAUUUCGAUCAAAACGGUGUGUUUUCUUAGGGUAUUCUUUAAAUCACCAUGGCUAUCGUUGUCUUCAUUUGCAUACUGGUCUUGUUUUUCUACCUAGGCAUGUUGUUUUUUAUGAACAUUUUUUUCCAUUUAAAGACACCAUCAUCACUCCUCCUUUGGCCGCUCGCUCUCCAAGUGCACCUGAGGUCGCGAUUGAAAUUAGGCCUCCUCCUCCAUCAUCACCUCUUCCUCCUACUCCACAGCCUGCUGCUUCUUCUCCUCCUUUGCAGACUUACUGUCACGCCCUGGAUCCGGGGGUAGGUAAAAACCCCGCACCCGGUGCAUGAGAAAAUACAAACUAAACUAAAAUAAAAAGAAGCCGAAACAUGGUUUAAAAUAAAAUUCUCUUAUAAAAAUAGAUCUAAAAUCUUACAACUUUACAAGAAAUAAAUAAAACUCUACUACUCUCAUUUAAUUCAGUCUCAAUCGAUUUAGUCUUCGUCUUACCCACUAAUUCAUCUGAAAAAUUAAACAGGGUGAUGAAUGAGCAAUCACCGCUCAGUAGGGACAUGAGAACUUACCACAGUAAAUUGAUAUAACUAAAUUAAGUGACAUGCAAUUACACAGCCAAAUAUCACAUUAAUAAUAAUAAUAAUAAUAAUAAUAAUAAUAAUAAUAAUAAUAAUAAUGAUGCAUGAAUGCUCUUCAAUUCUAAUCCUGUUAAUUCAUAUAACUGGACAAGCAAACCUGCACGUCCCAUACCAUACUUAUACCACUUGGUCCCGAAUGCCCAUUUAUAUGAACUAACACCCAUCUCAAUCAUCCCAUAAUUCCCCUUUUGUUAGUCAUCUUGUCUAACUCCCUUUCACGAGUCCUGAAUCACCCAAUAAAAACCAUGUGCACUGUGGGAUCCCUGAGACCUGAUACAUGCCAAGAGUUAGACUCAACUACACAAAAGACUAUAUCCAUUACCCUCUUUUCCAUUAUUAUCUUCUCCACCCAACAACUUCAACUAAUUACCAUGACAUGAUAUAAUUAUGCCAACAUUAUUCAAAUAGUUCACAAUACAUAAAUAUCUCAUAUCAAGAACAUUAUACAAUAUCACACAUAAUAUAGAGCUCACGAAAUUUAAUUAAAUCAAUCUUAUAUAAAGGCUCCCAAGAAAUCCCUACCUCGUUUCUAAAGCCAACUCCACGUUAAGAGAAUACACAAGCUACGACCUCUAACUCCUCCUAAGAAUUUGAUCCCCACUUGCUCUCUCUCUCUCUCUCUCUCUCUCUCUCUCUCUCUCUCUCUCUCUCUCUCUCUCUCUAUUUUUCUCUUCUCUUUGCAUGCACUACUAUGCAUGACAACAAGUAAGGAAGGUCCUAUUUAUAAUAAGAAAAGGCGGCAACUAUCCUAUGCUUUCAUUGGCUGCAUGUUGAUUUACUUCAAGUAUGGAUAACUAUUUCUACAAUUGUAACAGCUCAUGGUAAUGUUGCUUAGUCACAAUGACACAUGUGAGCCUUAGUGUGCUGCAAGUAAGUGUAAAUAUCUUCCAUGUUGUUUAUCUAGUAUGCAAGGAAAUGCAAAGUUGCCAACUAUAAUAAUUAAAGUCAAGAGGUGUUGCAUGCAAGAGAUGAAGUGAUUAAGUUUCCUAGUGCCCAACUCUAACAAGACCAUGAAUUAAAACUAAUAGUGAAAAUUGCACACAUAUAUAUAUUAAAUGGCAAAAUAUUAUAUCUUCAAAUUAUAUAAUUUUAUAAAUAUGGGGUGUUGAUGCGAAAAAGUGGUUUGACACGUGGUUCGCCCAACUUAGUGAUAUUGUGUCUUCGGAAGGGAGUUAGUCUUCAGAAGAUCAAGUUCCUGCAAAAAGGGAACGUUCGGUAAGACCUUGGGUACCGGUGCGGUACCGGCCGAAGGCUCUCCGAUGCUUAAAUAAGUACGGAUUUAGUAAAUAUCAGAUUACAGAUCAAGCGAUAGCGUACCGUUGAUCGUUCUGUCCCCCCUCUUUUGGGAAUAGGGGUCUCCUUAUAUAGGCCUUGGGAGGUGAGCUUAUUUUGGAAUCUCCGAUGUGGGACUGUAGGAGUGGAUUGUGAGCAUGACACGUGUCCCAGAGCAAAAGCGUCAAGAUGUAUACCCUUCGGUAGUGUUCCUGCCGAAGGGCCUGUGAUGUCAAGUUGUCGUUUUUCUCCACGUGUCAGGCGGUCAUUGGUCGUUAAUAUACGGUAUAAACAUGGGGUUUCACACUUACCGCCGUGAUUCCCACCGCAAUGUUUUAACAUUUCCCUCCCAUGCUGCAACGAAAGGAAAUAUGGGGUAUGCCAACCCGUCUCCUCCCUCACCAAGUGCUGCUACAUCUCCAUCUCCAGUUCCUUCUUCUCCCCAAGUUCGUGAAUCUGAUUCUCAUCCUAUGCUCACACGUGUUAAGGCUGGUAUUUGUAAGCCUAAUCCUAAGUAUGUGCUACGGCUGGUACUUGUAAGCCUAAUCCUAAGUAUGAUCAUUUUACUGCUAUUACUAAUCACUUGGUUGAGCCCACUUGUUUUAGUCAAGCCCAAAAGUCUGAACAUUGGCGCAAGGCCAUGGCUGCAGAAUUUAAUGCUUUAUAGAAAACUGGCACCUGGACUCUGGUUCCUUCCAAGCCUACUAUGAAUAUACUUCCCAACAAAUGGGUCCUUCGUAUCAAGACACGCUCUAAUGGAUUCAUUGAACGGUUUAAAGCCCGUUUGGUGGCCAAUGUUUUUCAUUAACAAGAGGGUCUGGAUUAUGUCGAGACCUUCAGCCACGUGCUCAAUCGCUCCACCAUUCAUUUUAUCUUAGCUGUCACUGUUCAUUUUGGGUGGUCUAUUUGCCUGCUUGAUAUCCAAAAUUCUUUUCUCCAUGGUUCUCUCACUGAGGAAGUCUACAUGAAGCAACCUGCUAGGUUUCUUGAUUCACAAUAUCCUACACAUGUUUGUAAACACAACCAUUCGUUAUAUGGGCUCAAACAGGCUCCGCACCACUAGUUUCAAUGUUUUUCUACUCAUCUUAAGCAUUUGGGCUUUAUUGCUUCCAAGGCUGAUUCCUCCUUAUUCAUGAACUUUCAUUUGUCUAUUACUAUCUACUUGUUGAUAUGUUGAUGACAUUUUAGUUACAGGCAAUAGUGGGUCGCACAUUACUCAGCUCAUUCUCUAUUUGGGCCGUCAAUUUUAUAUGAAAGAUCUUGGUCCCUUGCAUUACUUCUUUGGCAUGGAAGUGGUACGGACCUCCACAGGCCUGCAUUUAUCUUAGUCCAAAUAUAUACUGGAUCUUUUGACAUGCACAAAGAUGUUAAACUGCAAACCCUUGCCUACUACUGUUGUUGGUGGUCGCAGAUUAAGUUUGCAUGAUGGUGACUCAUUAUCUGAUGUCUCUGAGUACAGUGGUAUGGUUGGGGCUCUUCAAUAUCUUACUUACACACGUCCAGACAUUGCCUUUUCAGUUAAUCAAGUCUGCUAAUUUAUGCACACACCCACGACAACUCAUUGGGCUGCCGUCAAACUGAUUCUUCGUUAUCUCAAGUCUACCUCUGAUCAUGGUCUAGUGUAUAAGCCUGGUGAGUUACGUCUUACUGCAUAUGCUGAUGCUGACUAUACCGGUGAUCCUAAUGAUCGUCGCUAUACAAGAGGGUAUUGUAUCUAUCUUGGUAAUAAUCUUGUUUUGGAGCUCUAAGAAACAGCGUGGUGUUUCACGCUCCAAUACGGAGGCCGAAUACCGCCAAUUAGCUUAUACUGCUGCUACCUUGUCCUGGGUGCGUUCGUUGUUUUGUGAUCUUCGUUGUAAUACCCAAAACAUUCAAAGUGGAUUUUCAUAUUUCAGUGAAAAAUAAUAUUCUGGUGGAGAAUGAUCAUGGGUAUUUUAUCAAGUGAUAUUGGAUAAUGAUUAUUAAAUUAAGUGUGUUUAGUUUCAAGCUGGACAAAAUGACCAAAAUACCUUUAUGUGUGAAAGUUUACCAAAAUACCCUUGUAGGCAAAAAAAUAAAUAUAAAAAUAUAAAAAAAUCUGAAACGUGGAGGGCAUCAAAUCACCCUCCUCCCACUCUUCCCUUCUUGCGUCAAGCUUUCAAAUUUGCCAUUAUAAAAAGAUGAGUCAUCUAGUCUAAAUUAGUGAGUCACCUAGUCUAAAGUGGUGGUGAGUCACCUAGCCUAAGAUUCUUUAAUUAGUCAUGAAUUUAUUCUCUUCCUCCCCAUUCAUUGUAUUAUCACUCUCUUCUAAAUUGAUGACUCACCUAGCCUAAGAAUCUUCAAUCAUGAAAUUAUUCUUAUCCUCAUCAUUCAUUGUAUCAUCACUUUCUUCAUCCUCAUUAUUCUUUUGUUCCUCUUCAAAAUCCAAAAUUCGUCACUUCCUUUGAGCAGCCAAGAACUCAAAUCUAGAAAGUACAAAUGAGAAAACUUCCUUCAUAAAAGUUAUUCAUUUACGUGAUUUAUAUAACAUGCUACAUUUUCACCUCAAUCCAAUUAGUACAGACUCCGAAAAGUUGGUAUGAUCACAGUAUGUUUACCAUUUUCUGAUUUCGCAGUAGUAUGCUAGGUUUCAAUAUGUUUCUAUGAUUUCCUGUACUCAAAUGACUUGCUUCCUUCAUCAAAGUUGUUCAAAAUUCUGUCUAUUAUAACAUAUCAAAAAUUUAGAUUGAUCUGACUUCUAUAACCAUCUUGGGAAAGUUUAGAGUGGAACUUGUUCAUUGAUUAUAUUGAAUUUCUUGUUAUAGAUGUGUACUUUCUCUCAAAUGGUUUGUUAUUUGUCAUUCAAUUGAUCAAAUUAGCCACCAUCAUCUCAAGUAAAUGAUUCUUUGAAGAUAUGAAGCUCAUCUUCGUAUUGUCUUUUUGAGUACUAGUUGUAAAUCAAGUAUUGGUUAGAUUGCCUCAAUGACAUAUAUCUCAUUCAAAGUGUGUUUCUAUGAAGUUCUAGAUUAUUUCGAUGUGAUCUUGUACCAAUUUCAUUCUAGGAUUUUGUUACAUCAAAAUUGAUAUCUCAAGGUUAUUUCAAAGUUGGUUUUGUGCCAUUUGAAUUUAAAUUGAGUUUUUUGUGAAAUUUCAAAGUAGAGACUAUGUUGUUGGAAUUGUUCUGAUUCUACAGCAUGCCAUGUUUUGAAUACGUGUUUGAAAACUUCCUGAACUUGGAUUUUCAUGAAAUUUUAGUAUGUUUUACUUUCGCGUAUUUUCUUCAAAUCUAGAAAGUUUUAUCCAAUUUGGUUGUAAAUUGAAAGUUUGAUGAGUUUUCAAAAUAAAGUGUACAAACCUGAAAAGAAAAAAAAAACACACACAUUCUGCAGCCAAGUCUAUUUUGGUUUCUAUUUUGACAUGCUUCCUUAACCCUAAUUUCCAUCAAAUUUUGACAUUUUUAAAUUUUUCUAUGUCUAGUUAUGUCCUGAAAUUUUUUACAUUUUUUUUUUAUUUAAACUCAAUAUUUAGUGAAUUUUCAAAGUUAAUGUGUUCCAACCUAAAUGUUUAGCAAAACUGAAGUUUUUGUUUUAAUUGAUGUUUUAAAUUUUCUUUAUGAGUCUAGAGCUGAACCACCUGAUUUUAAACAUCCCAAAGAGUAUAACAAUUAUAGGAGGGGAAUAGAUUGAUUUUUCCUUGACACUUGGUUCUAUGCUUGUUUGAACGUGAGGUUAAGGGAGUAACAAUCGGGUCGAACAACUUGUCAAGUUUAUUAUAGGGCUUUGAUCUGCGCCUGUAGGACACUUAAACGUGUUUUCUUAUUUUCAGUGAAUUUUAAUUAGUAAAUUAUCUUAAUUAGGUGUUCUACUCUGCAUACUUUCGAGGACGAACUCGCACAAGGUUAAGCUAGGUGGACAUGAGGUAGGGUUUCCUGAUUUCCCGAUGAUAGGGCUAUGUCAUUUUUAAUCUUGGUGUUUAUAUAUAAUAUUAUAAAUAUGAAUAAUAUUGUUGCUUUGCUCGAUAAAUAUUAUGUUAUGUGAAUGUUAUUAUUGAUGUUUCUCCAUGGUUAUUAUUUUUGACGUUGGAUGAAUAUUAUUAUUCAUAUGAUGAAGCUUGAAAUAUUAUUGUUAUCAUUUGUGUUAUUAUUCUGCACAGAUAAAUGAUGUUUGCGCUGCAUUACAUAUGCAUCAUAAAUACAUUGGUAAUUAGGGGUGUGUGUGUCGUUUGAGGUAUAUCUAAGGGGUGGGAGAAGGCUUUAGAUAUAUAUGAGUACAAAUGCGGAAUACAUUUAAGUGACGGGAGCAGGGCUUGAAUAUAUUGAGGUGAUGAGAGCAGGGCCUCUAAUGAAAAGUAAAAGUUGAGAAAUUUGUAAACAAAAGAAAACUGGGUUAAGGGACAUAUGGGCACUAGUUCAUAUUUUAGGGUAUUCGGAGCCACAGUGGUAAAACGCAUGGUAUGGGACAUGCAUGCUUGUUGCCCUAAGGUAUGAAUUAGUGGAAUUAGAAGGGAGUGAGUUCAUGGCAUCACCGCAUAUACAAAUUUAUUUAUGUGGUAUGGUUGCAUAAUUUCUGUAUCUUGUGUCGUUUGAUGCAUGACACUUUGAUUAACUGUGAUAGUUAACCUUGAGGGGUUUGACGGUACUCUACUGGGCAUUAGAAUGCUCAUACCCUAAUGGAUUAUGCAGGAUUCAAGACGAAGUUUGAGGAAGCGGGUUUCAACUAAGCUGCUAGGCUUUUAUUGUUUAUUUGUGUAGUUAAUAAUUGUAAGUAGUCAACCGUUUGAUAAAAAUCUUAGUGUGUAUUUAACUACGAGUUACUGUGACUCUAAUUUUGUGUUGUUAAUUAAAUUUGUAUUAUUUGUGGCUCUAUUUCUCAUCAUAUCAUGGUUGUAGGAUUUUUUUUUUCUUAUGACUAUGGUAUGACUCACACCGUGAUUCGAGAAUAUUCCUUUUUUUCGAAUCGGGUCGUGACAUUCGUAUUCCCAUUACUCCUCCACGUUUGUGGUGUGAUAAUGUCAGUGCAAUCUCCCUUACUUCCAAUCUCGUAUUUCAGUCCCACAAUCGUCAUAUUGAGGUUGAUUAUCACUAUGUUCAAGAGAAAGCCAUUCGCAAGGAGCUUGAAGUUGAUCACAUUUCGUCUACGGAUCUGCUUGUUGAUCUUCUAACCAAGGGUCUUUCCACUCUUCGGUUUUGCUAUUUACUCUCCAAGCUUCCCGUUCUUUGUUGUCCGCUCAGCUUGCAGGGGCGUGAUAAACCUUGUUAGGCAGUUACCAUAGUCCUGACUAGUAACGGGUGGUUUAAAGACAAUGAGUGCCAGCAUGUAAUUGUUUCUGCUGUUAUGAUAUUAUUAGGUUGUAAAUACAUUUUCGUUAUGUAGUAACUGAAAGGUUUACAUUCAUAUACCCUGUGUAUAAAUAGAUUGUAAUAUCUGUUUUUGGAAUAGAAGAAAACUAAGAUUCUUUCAUAAUGAACACAACAUACCAGCGAUUGAUAACUGAGAGAUGUCAAUGGCGCCAAUGCAAAUCCAUUUGGCAGUUUCCGAACCGAAAGCUACGGGGAUCAUGUUGAGAGAUUGGACUGCGUUUGUAGCUCAAGUGAUUAAUGGAGUUCAAAUGAUUAAAAACCAUUGCCAGUGUCGCAUACAUGUUCAAUUUAGUUGUUUCUAUGAUAUAAAGAAAUUAUUGAAUUUAAACAUUUUCAUUUACCAUAUGACUUAAUAUUAUCUUCAGUAAAACUCAUCAUUAUCAUUCAAACAUGACCAUUCUAUUCUAUAAAGUGAAUGAAUUAUACAAAGUCAAAUAUACUUCACCACAUUGAUCAUGCCAUUAGAGAAAACAUUAUUUGGUACCAAUUUAAGGUAUACAUUGUCCAUAUUUGGUUUCCUCUUCAUACAUUGAUAAUUCAGUAAGUCACCAUAAAGCAAUGGACUCGUGUCAUUCUUACUGCAUGUCAAACACAAUUUUCAGACUGAAAACAACUGCGUGUCGACAUGGUCCCCAAAAACCAUGAUCGAGACCCCAGUGAUGAUGAGCGGCCAUAGGAGGAACUUGGGGCAGUCUGUGUUGUUGUGUAUGUGAGAGUGAGGUUUUGGAAGCAGGGAUCAGUCCAUGAUGAUGAUGGUGAGGAAGAAGAAAAAGAAAUAAGAGAUAUGGGUUUCAUCAGAGAAUUCAGCUGAUGUUUUUCAUUAAGUCUUUUGUUCUCUCGUACAAAUGAGAAUGAAGCCAUAGUUUUAUAGGCAAAGCAUUGGCUAAUAAUUCGGUAAAUAGAAGACUUCAGGAGGGUAUAUGGAAAUCCCUUUCCAACAUAUGGGCUCUACCUUAUCAUCUUCCAACAAGCCCAUCUCGAAUAUUUCACCUCGAUUUUAUUCAGAAUUUCGAACUUGUUUGCCUUCGUUUCGGGCAAGGCAAAACCCUCCUCAUUCUUCAAUUUCCAUAAACAAUCACUGUACGGUACUCUCUCUCUCUCUCUCUCUCUCUCUCUCUGUGUUGGUCCUACAUAGAUUGUGAUAGAAAUGUACCGGUAUCUCAAUCAUAUAGUAAAAUCAAGAUUUGGAGCUUUCCCCUGGUUUCCCUAAUUGCAGAGUUCCAUGGAUUAUUAGGGUUCUUGUAAGAAAUAUAUUUUUAUGAGAUUGGUUCAAUCAAGAAAUAGUUUCUUAUUUUUUAUUUUCUGAAGUACUCCUGCUUCAAGAUAUGGGUUUUGAUUUUCUUCUUCUUUGAUUUUCUUUUGUUAAUUUCAUAAGUUAUCAGAAGGAGCUAUUAACAAUGAGUGAUUCAGGUGUGGUAUGGUAUAUAUAUACGUGUGUCUGUUUUUUUUUUCCUUUUCAAAAAUUACUAAUGGUUCUAAUGCUCAUCAGGUUCCUCCACAUUAAGCUAUGAGGGGCCAGUUUCCUCUGGUGGGUGAUGGGAUUGGUUUUCCAAAGUCGAUCAAUUUUUUCGCACCAAGGUAAUUUUCCGUCAUGCCCCUAGGAAAUCAAAAGCUCUUAACUUUUCCUUAAAGAUGAGAUAAUAGUUUUAUGGCCUUAUACGUCUAUAGGAUUCUACCUAGCAACCCAAUCAAACAGUUCGAAUAAAAUAUUUGGGGUAUUAAAAACUCUUAAAAGUUUUAGUGUGAGCUCAGUUUUCUUCUUCUUUGAUUUUCUUUUGUAAUUAUAAACUAACAUUACAGGGCAUCAAAAAAUCUUAACUUUUCUAUAGGAUUCUACCUAGCAACCCUAUCAAACAGUUUUCUGAGCAUUACCAGAAUUGACUCCCAUUAGAUAAUGUAUGAGACGUAUUAUUAUAUGUAACGCAAUUUCAAGAAACUUAUGAGGAACUUUCAGGAUUAAUAGGACUCUAGUGUACCUUUUUAGUGAGCUCAGUUUUCUUGAAUUGUUACUGGAUGAUGCAAAUUUUCACAAAUCACUAUACAAUGCACAUUAUGAAAUUAGUUCGAAUAAAAUAUUUGGUAUGUAUUUUUCAAGCGUGUUUAUGCUUCUGCUGGUUUUCUGGUAUAACCACUUGGAACUGUCUAUGCCAAUUAAAACCUGAUUCCUUAAUUUGUGACUGUGACUUGCUUCUUUCAGCACCAACUACACACAUGCAGCCUGCCUGAACUUAGCUGUAGAACGGUUGUACAAUGAAAUGAUUACUUCUUUCUCAAUUUCAAGAAACUUACGAGGAACUUUCAAGAUCAAUAAUAGGACUCUCUAGUGUACCCUUUUAGUCAGCUCAGUUUUCUUGAAUUGUUUCUGGAUGAUGCAAAUUUUCACAAAUCACUACAAAAUGGACAUUAUGAAAUUAGUUCGAAUAAAAUAUUUGGUCUGCAUUCUUCAAGCAUAUUUAUGCUUCUGCUGGUUAUUUCUGAUAGUUUUUGGUAUAACGAACUUGUAACUGUCUUGAUGCUAAUUAAGCUUGAUUCCUUAAUUUUGUGACCGUGGCUUGCUUCUUCAGCACCAACUACACACAUGCACCCUGCCUGAACUUAGCUGUAGAACGAUUGUACUAUGAAAUGAUUACUUUUUUCCCAUAGAUGACAGUAUCAACCUUUUAAUGUCUUCUUUUCUCUCACCCAUGACCUUACAGGCAGAUCAAGACCCUGCGGUUUUAAUUCCAGUCUAUCUCAUGAGCGGGCAAGCUGGUGACUUAAUUGGUGAUGUAGAUCGCCAUUUGCUGCUGAAUUACCAGAUGGGGACAUCACUGGGCCGGUUCUACGUUCUAUUCAAAAUGGUCAGAGAAACUUCCAGAUGGAACUCGGGCUUGCCUCCACAAUUUUAUUCACCGACCACUAAGGGAAAUGACCGUUGAGGGAAUCUAUUUGGGAAAGCGCUGGUCAGCAAACUAUUCAUUUGAUAUUUAAGUGUUGU
rnacentral:lncRNA from 1 species